rnacentral:lncRNA from 1 species
UCAAAAGGAAAGGUCAAAUUUAUUAUUAGUCCCAGUCUUUUUUAAUUCUAAAAUUUCAGUCCUAACUCAAGCUAAAACAGUUAAAUUCGUUAGGCCAAAUUUUAAAAAUUGUAGCAAAAUCUGAUAUUUAAAUAUAAUUAAUAUCUAACUAAUUAUUUUAUAUUAAUUUAUAGUUAGGGUUUUUUUUCAUAUUUAUAUUUUUAUUGAAUUAUUUUGUAUUUGUUGUUUUUUGAGUAAUUAUUAAGCAAAACGAGAUUAACAUCAGGCUUAAUUGGACUUGUAUGUGGGUUAGGCGAUUUAGUCCAGCCCAAAAGUUCACUCGAAAAGUGAAAGUAUUUUGAUAAAAAUAUAGAUCUAAAAAUAGACUUAGGUAAAAAGUGAAAGGGUAGUGAAAAACAAGAUGGGCCUCAGGUAAAGUCGUUUUUUAGCCUAACCCAACUUGAAUUUUAAAAAAAUUAUUAUUUUGUUAUCAUUUUACUAUUGUAUUAUAACUAUUUUCUAAUUUUUUUUAUAUAAAAGGUAAAUAAAAAUUUUAAAACAGAUAAAUUAGACCGAACUUAAAUUUUAAUAUUUUUAUUUGAGUUAAAUUUAAAAAAAAUUAAACCUAAUUUUUAAACCGAACCAAAUAUAGACCUAUCAAUGGGUCUAGAAUUUUGUUAAGCCCCACAUGGAGAACUCUAGGCACAUUACUAUUUCUGUUUUUCUUUUUGUGGGUUCAGAUCAUCAACCAAAUAUAAAUAAACAAAAAUAAAUGAUUAGCACUUCGAUUCUCUCCAGAGGUGGCCGAGGAAUAAGGUUCCUACCGUUUCAUCGCCAUUUAAUUCCUGCUACUACUACUACCUGUUCCACUACUACACUUGCCACUCUUUCCUCCCACCCAAACCCCACUUCUUUCAAAAUCGCCACUAAAAACCCCGCUCCUCUCCAAAACAUCGUGAAAUCCUCGUCACCAGUUCCUGGGAUUGUUGGGUUUUCAAUGAUGGCGUCUGCAACUGCUGGAGAAGAUGGUCAUUUCAAGUUGUCUGAAACUAGUGUGCUUAAAAUCAACAAGGGUGAUAUUACUAAGUGGUUUAUUGAUGGCUCCUCUGAUGCUAUUGUUAGUCCUUUCUCUUUAAUCUUUAGUUUCUUUCUGUUAUAGUUGUUUCUGGGUUUUUGAUGAUUUGUUUUUGUUUAUAUUUGUUUAUCGUAUUUGAAGUAUGUUUGUUUAUGGAAUUAGUGAUCCAAAUCUCUGUUUAAGUAGGAUAAUUGAUUAAUGUUAUGGGCAAAUGGAAGGAUUGUUGAGUUGGAUUUUAAAAAAUGGAAGGAUUUCUUUAAAUCAUAACAUUUGAUUGGGAUUUGUCUCUUUACUCCGUCGAGAGAGCUCCAGUGGGGUCACAAAAUAGGAGUGUUUUGGGGUGCCUGAAUAGGUGAACAUGGCAAACGGAAGAGUUUGCGCGUGGUCUGACUCAACCCUGAGUAGGAGAACCAUGGCAAACUGAAGGUCUAACUCGAUUUUAUGACCUAUGGCAUAUAAGUUAUUGAUGAGGGAGUAUGAUGAGCUCGUAGUGCUCUAGGUAGAGCCGAGGCAUAUCAACAAAAAUUAUGUGUUCUUUAUGGAUGUGCCACGUGUUGCUUGAACAAGCAAAAAUCAUUUUCGCUGAAGAGCGAGUGCAUAGCUCCCUCGAGAUCCUCUAUAUGGUAGAGGUCUUGAGUUUGAGCCUUGCCGUGAGCUCGCUCUUCAGCGACUAUGGCUUUUGCCUGUUCAGACAAUACAAGGCACAUCAACAUCAUGCUAUAUAUAUAUAUAUGUAUGUAUGUAUUGAUGGCUAUAUUUCUUUGAUGGGAUUCUAUGUACAUUGAUUAAAAUCAAGCACGGUGAUAGUUCUGAUGAUAAUCACCUGCAGGUUAAUCCAGCAAACCCGAGAAUGCUCGGAGGUGGUGGCGCUGAUGGAGGUAGAAUACCUCUGCAUAUUUUUCUUCUCCUCAUUUUGAACCUUGUUGAUGUCUUAGAAAACUGAACUUAUAAUGACCAUUGAUGAAUUUUACUAGCCAUACAUAGAGCUGCUGGCCCAGAACUUAAAGAAGCAUGCUAUAAGGUACCAGAAGUUCAACCUGGUAUUCGUUGUCCCACCGGAGAAGCAAGGAUUACCCCGUAAGUUCUUCGGUUUUUACUGCCGGUUCACCUGAAUAUUUGCACAUUAACAUACUAACAUGUUGAGAUUAUGCAGAGGAUUUAAAUUGCCUGCAUCUCAUGUGAUUCACACUGUUGGACCGAUUUAUGAUUCCGACAAGGACCCUAAAGGCUCACUGAGAAAUGCAUACAAGUAUGCUAUGAUGUUCCUUUUACACCAUUCAAUUUGUAGUUUAAGUUUAUCAUUCUCAAUAAGAUAUCCUCUUGAAAUUGUUGCAGAAAUUGCUUAACUGUGGCUAAAGAGAACAACAUUAAAUACAUCGCGUUUCCUUCCAUAUCUUGCGGUGUAUACGGGUAAGUGAUGCAAUAGAACCACCAAAGGAUUUUGUGGAAAGUUGGCUAAAUUAUAUCUGUUGAUGACAUGUUCUUUAAGGACUGGUUUUCAAUUUGUGAUAUUUGGAGGUAAAAGUACCAUGGAGACCUUUGUACCAAGAGUCAAUUUGCAUUUUAUCCAUUGUACGAAAAAAUGGGCAAAUUUGUCUCUGUAUAUUAGAUUAAAAAAUGGGCAAUCUGAUUCCUAUCAUUAAGGCUUUGAUGGUACUUUUACCAAUAUUGAAUCAUUACGUAACUUGUGUAAGUUUCUGGGAUUGAUUUUGACAAAGAUCAUGAACUCAUAGACAUAGUAGAAAUGUUUUUUAUCUUUUCACUUUCGGUCAUGGAAGACAGUUCUUUUCUGUAAAAUUCAUUGUUAUUUAAGUAACGAAUCCGUCCCGUGUUCAUGGAUUUCUUUAUUUUUCUACCUUAGAUUAUAUGUUUUCUUUUCUUUUCUGAAAAUCUUCCAGGUACCCUUAUGAGGAAGCAGCUACAGUUGCUUUAUCUACUAUCAAAGAAUUUGCCAAUGACAUUAAAGAGGUAAGUUCCCUUUUCAAUGUAUUUUGAGUGUCCUUGGAGGCUUAUAUUUUCAUACUCAUUUUCCAAAUAUGUGUCGAAUACGGAAAUUUCGAGAAAAAUAAAGAGUUGGUGUUUGCAGGUGCACUUUGUUCUAUUUGCUGAUGAUAUCUACGAUAUUUGGACGAAAAAAGCAAAGGAAUUGCUCUAGGUUUAGUGCAUGCUAGGAACUAGAAUUGAGACCUUCUUCAUGCUUGAGGGUGGAUUGGAUAAUAAAUGUACCUUAAUUGGCAUGGACCAAUUUGCUUUCCUUUGGAUUAUGUAUUGUGAGGGAUGCAUAGAUGCCAUAUGCCAAUAUGCUUAAAUCUGGAUUUUAUAUAUGUUUGGUGCAGUUUUCUUUAUAUAACAAUCUCAUUAUAGGGGUUGAUCAUAUUUGUUCUUUUUGACAAUAUCUAGAAUUACUUAUAAUCACUCCUCAAGGAUAAUGCUCUUUAGCACACUGGAACUCAUGACCCCCAACAUUGAUAAUAAUACCAAUGCUCAUUGAGCUAAGACUUAAUCGACAUGUUUAGUGCAUUUAUGAAGUAUUACAAAUUGUUGCUAUGAUGUGUUAUAUUUUUUGAAAUUUUUAUUUUCUUAAAGAAUUUAAGUGCGUCAAUUUUUAAAUAAAAAAAAUAUUAUGUAAUGUAACUAAAAAAAUGAUAUUGUAGUGACACUAAAUUUAACAAAAUAAUUUUAAUAAUGUCAAUAGUUGAAUCUGAAUUUUAAGAUUUGAAAAGUGUAGAGACUAAAUUUUAAAUUUACAAAGAGUACAUAGACUUGUGGCAUAUUUCUUUAUCAUAAAACUAUGUAAUUUUGUUAAGAUUAGUAUAAUAAAUUUAUAAUAAAACUAUUUAAGUUAAUUAACUAUUUAAUAGGGCAAAUGAAAAAUUAUGUUUCUUCGAAAAUUAUUUUUAAAUUAUUUAAAUGAAAUUAAUCAAAUAACAUAUAAUUAUAUAUAUUUUUAAAAAUAACAUAUAUGUUAUAGAAUUAAAAUACAAUUAUUACUAUAUAAAAAUAAAAUUUUAAACUUAAAAUAAUGUAUAAUCGUGUUUGGAAUUUGUUUAUAAUUAUCCACUUAAUUAUUUCAAUGCUUAACCUUGAGAGUAUAAUUAGAGUACUCCAAUUACACAAAACUUGCUAAUUAACUAAUUAUUCAAAUAUGAAACAUGUAUAAUUACGAUAAUUUACAUCUAAAUCCAAUUGCUAGAUUACUUUUCAAAUCGUACCUACAAUUUUUGUAAAAUAAAAGAUAAAUUUUUGAUAAAUUAAACUAAAAGAACUAAUGUAUUAAUUCCCCAAAGUAGAGGGAUGAAAUUUUAAUUAUUGAACCCCAUGUAUUGGCUUGAUAGUUAGGGUGUUCACCAUCCCAAGUGUAAUUUGGGUUUGAGUCGCACUAGUCGUGUUGUUGGUAGGGCUUUGCCCUCCCCUUGUAAUUCAAAAAAAAUUAAUUAUUUAUUUGAUUAUUAUUGGUCUAAUAGUUGAAUCGGUUAAACUGAUAGAAUUUAAAACCAACGGUGUAACCGGUUCAACCAUUGGUUUGAUUAUUAGAACAUUUUAUAGCACACUCUAAAAGUAUAGCAUAUUAUCACUCGAAAAUUUAUAUAAUUUUUAAAAUUUUUCUAGUUAUGUUAUGGCAGAAUCUUAGAGUGUCACGUCAUUCAACUAUUUUUUUAAAAGUUAUCAAAUUUUUUUAGUGAUAAAAAUAAAUCUAGUUGCUAAAUUCAAUAACAAAAGUAGGAAAAAAAAAAUACAUGUACCUGAUAAGACCUCUUUGUCAAGUUAAAGGGCCAAAAACUAAAUUAUCCCAUCAAUCAAAGAGUUAGGGUUUCAACACUAAAGUCGCCCAAGUAUAAAACCAUAUUUUUUCCCAAAAUUUUAUUCUUCCUCUCACAAGCCAAAAACCCUAGUUAUUAAUCGGCGGAAGCAGAAAGCCUCUAGCCAUGGUCAGAUCUUCAUUUCCUCUCCACUUUGGCCUUUUGGUCUUCAUCAAAACUUAAUCUUUUUCACAAAUUUGUGCACUCUGAUUAUAUCUUUUAUUUUUUUGUAGACUUUCAAACGUAGGAAUGGUGGCCGCAACAAGCAUGGCCGUGGCCAUGUCAAAUUCAUCCGCUGUUCUAACUGUGGCAAAUGCUGCCCCAAGGUAUUUCAAAUUUAGCAAUCUGUGUUUUUCCUCAGCCGAUUCUUUCGCUUCUUCUUUUAAUUUAUGCUGAAUUAUUGGGUUUGUUUUUGGAAUAUAAAAGGAUAAGUCAAUUAAGAGGUUUCUUGUGAGGAACAUUGUGGAACAAGCUGCUGUUAGAGAUGUCCAAGAAGCCUGCGUUUAUGACAGUAAAGUUUUUUUCUUCAUUUAUUUAAUUUCUUAAUUAUAGUCGAAUUUUUUCAUUCUUGUAAUCAUUGCUUUGGUUAAUUAUGUGUAGCUUAUACUUUGCCUAAGCUGUAUGUGAAGAUGCAAUACUGUGUCUCGUGUGCGAUCCACUCCCACGUUGUGAGAGUCCGAUCCCGCACCGAUAGGAGGAAACGUGACCCACCCGCCCGCUUCAUCAGACGCAGGGUACGUGUCUUUUAUAACCAGUGAUUCAGUGCUUUUCUUGUGUUGCUAUGAAGUAUUUCAAUGAUCCAUGUUUGAAGUGAAUAUUGAUUUGAGUUCUAUAAAUGUUUUUGUUUAAAGGUAUGAUUUUUGUUACCAUCUAGUGUAUAGGGUUUUUAAUGGAAUUUCAGCUAUUGAAAAACCUAUGGCUGUCAUUAGAAUUGUUCUUUGCUUUAUGAUGUAUAGGAUGAUAUUAGGGUAUUUUGUUAAUUCUCCAUGUAUGCUUAAUAGCCGUUUGAAUCACUUUUUCAAUUGCCUUUUUUGGUGUCUUAUUGAGGUAAAAGUACUAUAGAGGCCCUGUACUAUGAGUCGGCUUGUAUUUUGCCCCUUCUACGGUAGAUUAAAGAGCAAAUUGGUCCUUCUCAUAAAAUUUUUAUCCAUUUUAGUUUCUAAAAAUUGCUCCUUGUACCUCAACAUGAGGUACAUGUUGCGUGUUGCGUGUUGCGUGUCACUAUCUAGCACUAGUUUUUAAUAGUACUAAUAGAUGAAAGUUUUAAUAGAAAUGACUAAUAUGCUCUUUGACCUAAUACAUAGGGACUAAUUUGCGCAUUUUUUAGUACAGGGGACAAAAUGUAAUUUUACUCCAAAUACAGGGGCUUCCAUGAUACUUUUACCGUCUUAUUGAGCAUUAUGGAUAGAGAAUACCUUGAAUCUAUAAUAUUUGAUAUAUGGAAGUCGUCAGUAAGACUAGUAGAAUUUGGUAUUAUUUUGCUACUUAAGAUCCGUCACCAUCAUUAGGAUGAUUCCCUUUUCUGUGUUAUGCAUGAUGCAAUUCUUUAGUGACUUAUGGCUGCCUCUUAUGCAAAAUUUUAAUUGCUCUCAGGAUGUGAGAGUCCCUCGUAUAGUUAUUAGACAUUUAUACCAGACAAUUGUUUGUCAUUGUGUUGCGUCUCAUUUUAGACAUGACACAAAAAAAUGGAAUGCGAACACGACAUGAAUAAACGUAUCAAAACUAACAGACUCGGAUCUUUGAUCGCUUGGGAUGGUAGAUAUGUCUUAGAACUAAUGUAACUAAGAUAGUGAUUGAUGGUCAUCACGUAGCAGUACUUUGCAUCUUUUGAGGGACCUGUCUGCCCCUUUAGCUGAAAUUUUCAAGUGCUCGAGGGAUGAACUGGUCCCUCAUAUCUAACAUCCAUCUGAUCACUUUGUCAGUUGCCUUUCCCAGUGGCAUGCUGAUCAUUAUAAGAUGGAAAAUGUUAUGUAUAUGCAUAAAGAAUUUAGCUGACUCUUGAAUUGAAUUAUUUGCUUUACGAAGUUAUUUUAUUUUCUAAAAUAAGGAAUAAUGUGUAAAAAUACCAUUUAGAUCCUUGUACUAUGAGUCUGGUUCCAAUACGUAAUUAAAGCUUUCCUUUUCUUGUUUCUUAAAAUUUUGCUUGCAAUCAAGAGCUUCAUUAAUUAUAUAUUAAAUUUUCAGGAUGAUAUGCCAAAGCCUGGUCAGCCUGGUCAAGCACCACGUCCAGGUGUUGCAGCUCCAGCUCGUGCUUAAGGCCUGUGAAAGCUUUUAAGAUAAAUUUUCUAUAUUUUUAUUUUGGUUUUAAAUGGUUGCAUUAAAUUUAAGAACAUGGAGACAUGUAGGAAGGUUUUGAUUGCUUAAAAGUUUAAUACCAUUUGAUACCUUUUUAUUAUUAUUUUGGAAGCCUUGAAUGGUUGAGAUUUGAGAGUACUUGUUCAUCAAAACUGUUGCUUGUGCUUCUACUUAUUUCUCAUUAUUUUGGAUAAAAAUUAAAAAAAAAGAGAGUAUGAAUUACAUAUGACAUGUUGAAUUUGAUUUUUGAAGAAGUUGACUAAUUUGCAUCAAGAAUACUAUGUAUACCUUUAACCUUACCAUUACUACUAAAGCAUCAUUUCAAUUUCAUGUGUUAUAAAUUUGGUUAUAUAUUAAUAUUUUAUUAAAUUGAUAUCACGAGACUAGGAUGAAAAUAUUUAUCUUAAAAAGCAAUACACGAGAUUAUAUUUUUUGUUAUUUUUUAUAAAAAAAUAAGAAAAAAAUAGUAAAUUACAUUAGUAGUUAUUGUAUUAUUAGUAAAUUUUUUAUUUAUCACUCAAUUAUUUAAUUUUAUCUUUUUUAGUUAUCAACCGUUGACAUGAUAUUAAUUUUAAUCGGUGUUAACUUGUUCUUGAUUUUGAAAAACUAACUUUUAAUGUUUACACAUUAAAAAUUUAAGAUUUUCAUUUUUCUCUCAUUUUUAAAGUUUACCCUUAAUGCUAUGAAAAAAAUUAUAAAAAAAUAAAUAAAUUAUACAAUGUGCAAAUGUAGAGGAUUAAACUUAUUAUUUAAAAUUUAUCAAGUUAUUAUCUAUGUAUACACAAUGAUUUAUCGAGUAUUCAACAAAUUUUUAGAGCAUUACAAGUACAAUUAAAGUACAAAUAUAAAUAUAUAUCAAAUAAUUAAAAAUACCAAACUAUUGCAACUCGGACCGAAUAUAAACGUGUACUUUAAAUUAACUAGACUUGUGUCUUGUAUCUGAAUCCUCAAAAUUCAGGACCUCGUCUUUACCAACCGAAGCAAGUUUCGUCUGGCUGUAAACCAUUCAAUCGGCAGAUGAACAGUGAUCUGACACGCCAUGUUUUGAAGUGUCAAAACCCAAACAUACCACAAACUUGGAUCACGACAUGUUUUUCAAAAGUUAUUUUUUUCAGUACGUGGCUGACAUGCAUUACGCCAUGUACCCCUCAAACCCCAUAUAUAUUAUAUAGAGUUGCACCUAGAAACAAGUAGAAGCAAAAGCAAAAAUGGCUCAAGCAACUUUCACAGCCGAAGAUCAAAAGAUUGAGUCUUUUAGGUUACUAAGUGGCCACAAAAUCCCUGCAAUUGGGUUAGGCACUUGGAGAUCCGGUUCACAAGCCGAUAACUCCGUCAAGACCGCCAUUGUUGAGGUACUUAUAUAUGCUUGGACUUUCUUUCAAGUAUCUUUGUAUAUAUUUGUCUUUGGGAGCUAAGUUAUAUUUUUAUUAUUUAACUAAAUUUAUAAUUUUAAAAAUCUUGAAGGAUUAAUUAUUUUGAGGAGUCAAGGCCCCUACGUUUCCUCUUGGCGCCGUCCCUGUUCUUUGUAUUAAAUUUUCAUUAACAUUUCACAAUGGUUGCAGGGUGGUUAUAGACAUAUAGAUACAGCUUGGGAAUACGGUGUUCAAGAAAGUGUAUAUAUCUCUUCUCCCCCAACAAUAUGAAAGUUGUAAAUUUUCAAUUUUCAUUAAACAAUAAUUUUAUAUUCCAUUAAAAUUUUUCAUUUUAUUUAUCAGGUUGGCCAUGGAGUCAAAGCAGCAAUACAUGCAGGAGUAGAAAGAAGGGAUCUUUUCAUUACAUCCAAGCUAUGGUGCACCGAGUUGAGUCCAGAACGUGUUCGACCUGCUUUAUUGAACACCCUCCAAGAACUCCAACUUGAAUACCUUGAUCUUUACCUGGUAAUCUGAUCAAAAUGUCAUUUACAUCAACAUGUUGGAGGAUGAAAUGCCUGCAAGACUUUUCAUUACAGAUACAUUGGCCAUUUAGGCUAGCAGAUGGAGCAAGCAGACCACCUAAACCAGGUGACGUACAAGAAAUGGACAUGGAAGGUGUUUGGAGAGAAAUGGAGAGGCUUGUAGAAGACAAGCUGGUUAGAGAUAUUGGUGUGUGUAAUUUUACACUGAAGAAGAUGAACAAGUUGCUUGGUUUUGCUGAAACUAUGCCAUCUGUUUGUCAAAUGGAAAUGCAUCCUGGUUGGAGAAAUGAUAAGAUGUUGGAAGCUUGUAAACAGAAUGGCAUCCAUGUCACUGUAAGAUCUGAUCUAUCUUAUCAUAUAUUUGGAAUGAAUAAAUUAAUCAUUGGAUAUUCAUGAUGAUGUUGAUGGAUUUGCAGGCAUAUUCACCACUUGGUUCACAAGAAGGUGGUAGGGACCUAAUCCAUGAUGAAACAGUGGAUAGAAUAGCAAAGAAGCUGAACAAAACACCAGGACAAGUGCUGGUAAAAUGGGCUAUACAAAGGGGAACCAGUGUCAUACCCAAAUCAAACAACACUGAUAGGAUCAAAGAAAACAUUGAGGUGUUUGGGUGGGAAUUGCCACAAGAGGAUUUUCAAGCUCUUUGUAACAUCCCUGAUCAGGUAAUAAUAACUACAAUACAUAUCAGUUUAGUUUUGUAAUAAAUAAAACUUGGUUUGAAGGUUGAUUGAUGAAAAGGUUUUGUUUUUUUUUUUUGUUUUUGCAGAAGAGAGUGUUGCAUGGAGAACAAUUGUUUGUGAACAAGAAUGCAGGGCCUUUAAGAAGUGUGGCUGAUGUAUGGGAUCAUGAAGAUUAGUAAUAAUAUAAUCCCAUUUUACAAUGUUGAUGUUCUUAUCAAUAAAUAAGAUGAUGAGGAUGAGGAUGAUGAUGAUUCCAUGUGUGUUUGUAGUGAUGAUGAUAUGUUCUUAUAAAUAAAUUAUGCUGUUUCUAUACAGUAGUUUUUCUAGAAAUAUUUGGUGGCCAGACCUGGAUAGAGUUCUAAGCUGCUAAUCACUCUGUCAUAGACAUCGUUUACAACACUGAUAUUAUGUCACAUCAUCAUGAACAUUAAAAUAUAUAUAUAUAAUUUUAAGUGAUAAUACAGUACAAUCUCAUAAUCUCAUAUUCAAUGUUUUAAUAACCGAGCUUAAAUAGAUCAGAUCACUAAUUCUUGGUUAAUAUAACCAUUAAACCGAAAAUAAAUAACUAAAAUUCAUAAAUCUAAUUAUCAAAUUCAAAUACCAAAAAAAUAUAUAUAUACUCCAAUUCAAAUUCAAAUAUUAAAACACAUUCGAAAUCAACAUUCAUUAUCUAAUACACAAAGCAAGGGAUAAAAGAAAACAAAAAGUAAAACAUAUAUUUUUAGUAUCAACUAAUAUUCUCUUACUUAGAGAACACUCAAACCCAUUGCAUCCCAUUCACAGUAACUAUAAAGAAAAAACAUACAUAGGUAUAGGCAACCCACCGUUGAAGCAAAGUACCAUAGCAAGUUCAAAUAGACUCCUACAAAUAAGCAUUUGGAAUCUCUCUCUUCUAAUUUUCUGCUUUGUUUAGAUAUUCAAUUUCAAAUUUUUUUUUCUCUACCACAUCGAAAGAGACAGAGAGGAAGGAGAAAUGGAAGAGCUAAAGUACCAUGGGCAUCAACAUCCACUGUUGAUGUUAAAUGAGGAGCAGUUGAUUGGCAAUGGCAAUGGAGUUGUUGAUUGCUCAAGGUGUGGGGAGAAGGUGUCAGCUCCAUGUUUUAGCUGUGCGGAGUGCUGUGGGUUUUACCUCCAUAAGACAUGUGCCGAGGCACCUUUGGAGCUUAAUCAUCCUUUUCAUCGCCACCAUCCUCUCCUGCUUCUGCAGAAUCCACCUUACACUUCUGACACAAGGUGCGUUUGCGAUUUCUGCGAUGAAACAUGUGAGCAGUUCAUUUACCGUUGCUCUUGUGACUUGAACUUUCAUAUUAAAUGUGCGUUGUUUACAUUUAAUAUUGCUGAAAGAAAUUUGAAAGAGGUUGAGCAUGUUGCCCUUGAGGAUCCAUCGUUUUCCUCUAGAAACGAUAGUGGAAACCUGGGUAAGUGCUUUGUGUGUUGGGAACCAUUAGCAAUUUAUACAUACUUCUCUCUUGAUGGUGGGUUUAACUUGCAUAAGAAGUGUGCUGAGCUUUCUCUCAAAUUGGAUCAUUUGUGCCAUCGCAAACAUCCUCUUGUUUUGCAAUUUAAUAGUCAACGGCGUGCUUGUAAAGUAUGCCAAGUAACUCAACGAAGAGGAUUUGUGUAUGGUUGUUCACUUUGUGAGUUGGCUAUUCACAUUGAUUGUGCAUCGCCAUUACCAGUUAUUGAAGAUAAAAGUCAUCAACACCCAUUCACCUUGUUUUGGAGACAAAUUCCAUUCAUUUGUGAUGCUUGUGGCACUGAAGGACAUCAUGUUGCCUAUACAUGUGGUACAUGCAGUAUUAUGGUCCAUAAAAAAUGCAUUUCAUUUCCACGCAUUAUCCAACAUGCGUUCCAUAGCCAUCGUGUUUUUCACACGUAUUUCAUUCGCAAGGAAUAUUUUGAAAGUUUGAAUUGCAUAUGGUGCCAUGAAGUUGUCAAUACAGAGCACGGUAGUUACUUCUGUGCAGAUUGCAAUGUUAUAUUCCAUGUGAAUUGUGCACUGAAAGAAAAGAAAUGGUAUUGCAUAGUUUCAGAGGAAAAUGAAGAUGACAAAUCUCUUGAUAUACCUGUUAGCUCCAUCACUGAGGUUCUUGAGAGGAAUGAUGCUGGAGAAGCCACAGUAAUAGAACAUUUCAAGCAUAAGCACUACUUGAUGUUAAAUGACAACAUCAGAGAGCAUGGUAAUAAAUAUUGUGAUGGGUGCUUGUUAUUGAUCUCCGCUAAGUUCUACCAUUGCUCGCGAUGUGAUUUCUUUCUUCAUAAAUCUUGUGCUGAAUUGCCUAAGAUGAAGCUUUUUUCGGUACAUAUUUGUGAAGAAAUGGAAUAUUUUUCUGGAUCAAAACCCCACAUCCUUACUUCAGACUGCAUGUUCAAAUGUGGCCUAUGCAGGUACCUUUCUAAUGGGUUUUUUUAUAAAUGUAAUGAAUGUGGAAUGGACCUGUGCCUUCGAUGUCUUGAUCUAUCUCUCCUAGAUGCUGUAAAAAUUCCAGGGCAUAAACACCCUCUUCUUUUCUAUUAUGAUUAUGAGGAGCAGUGUUGUGCUUGUGGGAGGGAUAUCAUUCGCGCAUUUUGUUGUAAGGAUUGCAAUUUUCAUAUAUGCAAUUUGUGUGUUAUACGACCAACUAGAGUUAGACACAAAUGUGAUGAACAUCUUCUUACACUCACUUAUGACAAGAUUAAUGAUUAUGUAAAAUAUCAUUAUUGUGACAUUUGUGAGAAAGAAAGGGAUCCAGAGCACUGGUUUUAUCAUUGCAAAACUUGUGACACUUCUGUUCAUGUGGAUUGUGUUCUUGGAAAAUAUUCAUUCAUCAAACUCGGGAGCACCUACAAUGAGGGAAACCAUGAACACCCUCUCACUUUUGUCAAGAAGAUUAAUUACUACCCUGAAUGUGUUGAAUGUGGUGAUCCUUGUGAAGAUCUUUCUCUUGAAUGUGCAGAACCCAGAUGUAACUAUAUUGCUCACUGGAAAUGCAGAAAACCAGCAAUCCGUGGUAGGUACUAAAAAUUGCGGCUUCAGUUUCACAAUAAGACAGUAUGUGGUUGUUGUUAAUAGUUGCUAUUUUUUAUUUGUGUGUUUAAAUAAUGCAAUGUUUUUAGGUUUGAAAUGUAAAUAUAUGAGAAUAAAAUUGAUAUGAUUUGCUUAUUUCUUGUUUAAUUUUCAUAUAAUAAUUUUGUUGCAUGCUAAGUAAAAUCAUAAUAAUAGAAUGUUAAUUAUUAUUUUCCUUAGAUUCCAUGAAUAAUUAGUCCUUAUGUGCUACCUUCCAUAUUUAUAUAAGUUGAAUAUAGUUAGAUGUAAAAAUAAUUGUUUACAAUCCGUUUGUUUCCUGAAAAUUUUAUUUAGAAUUGAUGUAAAAUAUUUUCAUUAAUUUGAUAAAUUUUCUGAAAAUAUUUCAUAAAAGAUAUUUUCAAAGAAACAAAUAUACUUCAAUGAAUAAAGAGUUGAUUUAUUAGACGAAUAUGGACCUUGAUUAAAUGGUACAAUUUAAUUUUAGUUCUUCUAAAAUAUUAAAAAUUCAAUUUAAUCCUUUUUAAUUUUUUUUGUUAAAUGAAAAGUUUUCAUUUUCAAUCUUUUCGAAAGUUUAAUAUUUAUUUUAAUGCAAGAAUUUUAGCUUUAACCUCUCAAAAAUUCUCUUAAUUCUCUUAAUUUCAAACCGUGAAUACCUUGGGAUGAGGGAUGAAAAUGAGCGCCAUUUUUAUCUUAAUUAAAUGCCAAGAAUUGUAAAAAAAUAGAAAAUAAAAAUGAAAGAUAAAGAAGGGAUAAUAUAAUUUUUGACCCCUAAACAUUCACUUUGGUAUUUUUACUUUUUUUGUUCACUUUGGCAGGGGCGAAUUUAGAAAUUUUUUUAACAAGGGGCGAAAUUAAUUAUAAUUUUUCAUAGAUAAAAAAAAGUUUAUUAUGUAUUAAUUUAUAAUUUCAUGAUUUUUGAAGGAAUUAAACAUAUUUUUUUCUUUUUUAGGGGGCUAAAGAGAAAUUUUACUAUAUAUUAUUUUAUAAUUUCUUUAUUUAUAAAAGGACUGAAAUGAAUUUUUUUCAUUUUGGGGGUCCAAAAUAAAAUUUUACUAUACAUUAAUUUUAAGAAUGUCAAAUUUAGUGCUUUAAUUACCGAACUUGAAUAGGUCAGAUCAUCGAUUCUUGAUUUGAUCAGUACAAUAAUUAAAUAAAUAAUUAAAAUUCAUUAAAUGUUCAAGUACCAAGUUUAAGUAUCAAAAUGAAUUUAGUUGUCAAAUUCAAAGACCAAAGUAAAAAAAAAAUACAAGUAUCAAAUAAAAUUUAAUUAUUAAGUUUAAGGGAUUUAAAGAGAAUUUUCAAAACAAAUUGAAGGGUCUUAAUUAAAAAUUCUAAAUUUUUUUAAGGGUAUAAUGAAAAUUUUCCUAAUUUAUAUAUUUACAAAAACUUGCUGAUAACCUGCGAACAUGAAAAAGGAAGCACAUAUAAAUUUAUCUUGAAAUGGAUUAAAUAGAAGUUCUUCUAAUUUUGGUGGCUAAAGUGUAAUUUUACUAUAUAAAAAUUAUAAUUUAAUGGUUUUUAAAGGGGUUGAAAUGUAAUUUUUCAUUUUUUGGGGGCGCCUAGGCACUACUUACCCCUUUGCAUUCACCCCCUAGUUGUAUUAAAAAAAACGUAAAAUUCUGCUAUUAAUCCAUGUACUCUAAGUAAGUUGUGGAUUUAGUCCCUAUAUUUUAACUUGAUCAAUUUUAGUUCCUUUACUUUUAGAAUUGGUCAACUUUAGUCUAUGUACUUUCUAUAUUUUGAAAUGUCAGUCCUGACCCAAUCGGUAUUAGUUAAAUCCAUGUUAGUUAUAUUUUUCUAUUAGUCCUAUACUAUACGUAAAGUUAUAAAUUUAGUCUAUAUUCUCUAAUUAGAUCAUUUUUAAUCCCUGCAAUUGGGUUAGUCACUUGGAGAUCCGGUUCACAAGCCAAUAACUCUGUCAAGACCGCCAUUGUUGAGUUGCUUAUAUAUGCUUGUACUUUGUUUCAAGUAAUUUUGUAAAUAUUUGUCUUUGGGAGCUAAAUUAUAUUUUUAUUAUUUAACUAAAUUAAUAAUUUUAAAAAUUUUGAAGGAUUAAAAUGAUAAUUAUUUUGAGGAGUCAAGGCCCCUACGUUUCCUCUUGGUGCCGUCCCUGUCCUUUGUAUUAAAAUUUCAAUAACAUUUCACAAUGAUUGCAGGGUGGUUAUAGACAUAUAGAUACAGCUUGGGAAUAUGGUGUUCAAGAAAGUGUAGUAUCUCUUUCUCCCCCAACAAUAUGAAAGUUGCAAAAUUUCAAUUUUCAUUAAACAAUAAUUUUAUAUUCCAUUAAAAAUUUUCAUUUUAUUUAUCAGGUUGGCCAUGGAGUCAAAGCAGCAAUACAAGCAGGAGUAGAAAGAAGGGAUCUUUUCAUUACAUCCAAGCUAUGGUGCACCGAGUUGAGUCCAGAACGAGUUUGACCUGCUUUAUUGAACACCCUCCAAGAACUCCAACUUGAAUACCUUGAUCUUUACCUGGUAAUCUGAUAAAAUGUCAUUGACAUCAACAUAUUCGACAAUGAAAUGCCUGAAAGACUUUUUAUUACAGAUACAUUGGCCAUUUAGGCUAGCAGAUGGAGCAAGCAGACCACCUAAACCAGGUGACGUACAAGAAAUGGACAUGGAAGGUGUUUGGAGAGAAAUGGAGAGACUUGUAAAAGACAAGCUGGUUAGAGACAUUGGUGUUGAAAGGUCAACAAAGGUAGGAAGCAACUUGUUAAAAAGGUUGAGCAAGUUGCACCGAAUGUUGAAAAGUUGAAUGGGAUAAUUGCAAUUUUGGUCCCUAAUUUUUUAGGCCAUUUGCAAGUUAGUCCCUGAACUUCAACUAUAAAUAGGCCUUUUCAUUUUUCAUUUCAACCAUCCCAACCAAUCUUUCUCUCUUAGUUUUCUCUCUUCUCCCAUUUGAGAAUUCUUAAGGAAUUCUAUUUGUUUGUAAUACUUUGAAGAUAGUAAAGUUAUCAUCUGGUGUUAGUGCCCGAGGACGUAGGUAUAAUUUACCGAACCUCGUUAAAACUCUUGUGUUCUUUCUUGUCCUAUUUUUCUUUCAAUAUUUGAGGGUAUAAUAGUAGUAUUUAAUUGUGCUAUUAAAUUACUAUAGAAGGGAUAUUCUGUCUAAGGAAAGACUUGGUAUUUAAGAGAUCCAUGUGAUCCAUCUCUCUUUCCUGGGAAUUGAACUUUGUGUGAUUUUUUAGUACAAUAAUUUACACGCUUCCGACCCUAUUGGAACAACAAGUGGUAUCAAGAGCCGAAGGUUAAUCGUAGUAUGCUCUGUGGUUUUAGUUUAAACUGAUCUUCCACAUUAGAAAAGAUUUCCUUAGGUAUAUUGAAAGAUUAUGGAGAAAACGGUCGGUGUAGGAGCUUCAACAUCGUCCAUGUGGACAAGACCGACAAUUGCAAAUGCAAGAUUGGCCGUGGAGAUCUUUGAUGGCACGGGCCAUUUUGGUAUGUGGCAAAGUGAGGUUCUAGAUGCCCUUUUUCAGCAGGGUCUAGACAUUGCCAUUGAUGAAGAGAAACCAGAUGAUGUACAGGAGAAAGAUUGGAAGGCGAUCAAUCGGUUGGCAUGUGGCACAAUUCGAUCAUGCAUUUCUCGAGAGCAGAGGUAUGCUUUUUCAAAGGAGACUUCUGCAAAUAAGUUGUGGGUGGCACUUGAAGAAAAAUUUUUGAAGAAAAACAGUCAAAAUAAGCUCCACUUGAAGAAAAGACUGUUUCGCUUCACAUACGUCCCAAGUACCACAAUGAAUGAUCACAUCACCAAAUUUAAUCAGUUAGUCACUGAUUUGCUGAAUAUGGAUGAGACAUUCAAAGAUGAAGAUUUGGCUUUGAUGCUGUUGGGGUCACUUCCUGAGGAGUUUGAGUUCCUAGAAACUACUCUACUUCAUGGCAGGAGUGAUAUAUCUCUGAGCGAAGUCUGUGCGGCCUUAUACAGUUAUGAACAGAGAAAGAAGGACAAACAGAAAAACUCAAUCAGAGAUACAGAAGCUUUAGUAGUCCGAGGUCGUUCAUACACUCGGAAGAAAACUCAAAAGGGGAGAUCAAAGUCAAAGUCCAGACUCGGAAAAGAUGAAUGUGCUUUUUUCAUGAGAAAGGCCACUGGAAGAAAAAUUGUCCAAAGCUGAAGAAUAAGGGAAAAGCUGCUGUAGAUGCUAGUGUUGCUAAGCAUGAUACUAGUGACUCUGAACUAUCACUGGUUACAUCAUCAUCGUCGUUCCAUUCAGAUGAGUGGAUAUUGGAUUCGAGUUGUACCUAUCAUAUGUCCCCUAACCGGGAGUGGUUCUCUGAUUUAGUAGAACUAAAUGGAGGAGUUGUUUAUAUGGGCAAUGACAAUGCCUGUAAAACUGUUGGGAUAGGUUCAAUCCAAUUAAAGAAUCAAGAUGGAUCAACCAAAGUUCUGACUGAUGUUCGGUACGUGCCCAGUUUGAAGAAAAAUCUCAUCUUAUUGGGAGCCUUGGAAUCUAAUGGUUCAGUUGUUACUAUGAGAGAUGGGAUUUUGAAAGUGACAUCUAGCGCACUUGUGAUAUUGAAGGGCAUCAGGAAAAAUAACUUGUAUUACUACCAAGGUAGUACAGUUAUUGGAGCAGUCGCUACAGCUUCCGGUAACAAAGAAUUGGACUCAAUGCAGUUGUGGCAUAUGAAGUUGGGACAUGCUAGCGAAAAAUCCUUGCAAAUUCUGGCAAAGCAAGGAUUGUUGAAAGGUGCAAAGGCUUACAAAUUAAAAUUUUGCGAGCAUUGUGUUCUGGGAAAGCAAAAGAGAGUGAAAUUCGGUACUGCUAUCCAUAAUACAAAAGGUAUUUUGGAAUAUGUUCACUCAGAUGUGUGGGGGCCUUCCAAGACACCUUCAUUGGGAGGAAAACACUACUUUGUUACUUUUGUUGAUGACUUUUCUAGAAGAGUUUGGGUGUAUACCAUGAGAACUAAGGAUGAAGUGCUUAGAGUUUUUCUUAAAUGGAAAACUAUGAUCGAAAACCAGACUGACAAGAAAAUCAAGCGGCUUAGGACGGACAAUGGAGGGGAAUAUAAAAGUGAUCCGUUCUUCGAUGUGUGCCAAGAGUAUGGUAUUGUUCGACACUUCACAGUUAGGGAUACACCACAGCAGAAUGGAUUGGCAGAGCGUAUGAAUCGAACAUUGCUGGAGAAAGUUCGAUGUAUGUUGUCCAAUGCUGGGUUGGGCAAGCAAUUUUGGGCUGAGGCUGUGACAUACGCUGGCCAUCUUGUUAAUCGUUUGCCAUCAUCUGCAUUAGAAAGAAAAACUCCUAUGGAGGUAUGGUCUGGAAAACCGGCUACAGAUUAUGAUUCCUUACAUGUGUUUGGAUCCACUGCAUAUUACCAUGUGAAGGAGUCAAAGUUAAAUCCGAGGGCAAAGAAAGCUCUCUUUAUGGGAAUCACUUCUGGAGUGAAGGGAUUUCGUCUUUGGUGCUUAAGCACAAAGAAAAUGAUCUGUAGCAGAGAUGUUACCUUUGAUGAAUCUGCCACAUUGAAAAAGGUAGCAGAUAAAGAUAUUCAGACGAGCAAUACUCCACAGCAGGUGGAGUGUACUCCAAAACAGGUGGAGUUUGAGCAGAUGGGGAUUUGCCCAGUUAAUAAGUCUAAUUCUCCAGCCACAAUGGAGGAAUUAGAGGUUGAAGAGGUUCUGACCCAAGAACCACUAAGUACACCAGAACCAGUUGCAGUUGCAAGGCCACGGAGAGAAAUUCGUAAACCUGCUCGAUUUACUGAUAUGGUGGCCUACGCCCUUCCCGUUGUUGAUGAUAUUCCUAUCACUUAUCAAGAAGCAAUGCAAAGCUUAGAAAGUGAUAAAUGGAAAAGCGCCAUGGAUGAAGAAAUGCAGUCUCUCCUGAAGAAUAAUACUUGGGAAUUGGCGCAAUUACCGAAAGGUAAAAGGGCAAUCGGAUGCAAGUGGGUAUUCGCAAAGAAAGAUGGAUCUCCUAGCAAGAAGGAUAUUCGCUACAAGGCAAGAUUGGUAGCUAAAGGCUACACUCAGAAGGAGGGAAUUGACUAUAAUGAUGUAUUUUCCCCUGUUGUGAAGCAUUCCUCCAUUAGAAUUUUGUUGGCCUUGGUAGCACAGUUGAAUUUGGAGCUAGCUCAACUUGAUGUUAAGACGGCUUUCUUGCAUGGUGAGUUAGAAGAGGAGAUCUAUAUGACUCAGCCCGAAGGAUACACAGAUGCUGGUGGUAGAAAUUGGGUUUGUAAGCUGAACAAAUCGCUAUAUGGAUUGAAGCAAUCCCCGAGGCAGUGGUACAAGCGGUUUGAUAGCUUUAUGAGAAGGUAGAAGUACACAAGAAGCAAAUAUGACAAUUGUGUAUAUUUGCAGAAGCUGCAUGACGGAUCUUUCAUUUAUCUACUCUUGUAUGUUGAUGAUAUGUUAAUCGCUUCGAAGAGCCAAAAUGAGAUAGAUAAGCUGAAGGCUCAGUUGAAUCAAGAGUUCGAGAUGAAAGAUCUAGGUGAGGCCAAGAAGAUUCUCGGCAUGGAGAUAAGUAGAGAUAGACCAAGAGGCAAGCUCUGUUUAAAUCAGAAGCAAUAUCUGAAAAAGGUAUUACAAUGUUUUGGUGUAAAUGAAAACACAAAACAUGUAAGUACCCCACUUGCUUCUCAUUUGAAACUUAGUGCUCAAUUAUCUCCGAAGACUGAAGAUGAAAGAGAAUAUAUGGCGAAAGUCCCAUAUGCUAAUGCAGUUGGGAGUUUGAUGUAUGCGAUGAUGUGUACGAGGCCUGACAUUUCACAAGCUGUUGGAGUUGUGAGCAGGUAUAUGCAUGAUCCUGGAAAAGGACAUUGGCAAGCUGUGAAAUGGAUUCUACGAUAUCUUCGAAAAAUCGUAGAUGUUGGUUUAAUUUUUGAACAGGAUGAAGCACUUGGUCAGUUUGUAGUUGGAUAUGUUGAUUCUGACUUUGCUGGUGAUUUAGAUAAACGUCGUUCAACUACGGGGUAUCUGUUUACUCUUGCGAAAGCCCCAGUGAGUUGGAAGUCUACCUUACAGUCUACAGUAGCUGUGUCUACUACAGAGGCAUAAUAUAUGGCAGUUACAGAAGCUGUUAAGGAGGCUAUUUGGCUUAAUGGAUUAUUGAAAGACUUGGGAGUUGUUCAAAGUCACAUUAGUCUAUAUUGUGACAGUCAGAGUGCUAUUUAUUUAGCGAAAAAUCAAGUCUAUCAUUCAAGAACCAAGCAUAUCGACGUAAGAUAUCACUUUGUGCGGGAAGUCUUUGAAAAAGGAAAAAUUCUACUUCAGAAGAUUCCGACAGCAGAUAAUCCCGCAGAUAUGAUGACCAAAGUGGUAACAACAAUCAAGUUUAAUCAUUGUUUGAACUUGAUUAACAUCCUGAGAAUUUGAACACCUACAGGUGUAUGGCGCUCGAAAGUGCAUUUAGAGGCACUACAAAAGAUAAUUUUAUCGAAUUUGGGGAGUUGAAGGAAGUGUGUGAAGAUGUGAUUAUCCUAAUCAAAUCUUCAAGGUGGAGAUUGUUGAAAGGUCAACAAAGGUAGGAAGCAACUUGUUAAAAAGGUUGAGCAAGUUGCACCGAAUGUUGAAAAGUUGAAUGGGAUAAUUGCAAUUUUGGUCCCUAAUUUUUUAGGCCAUUUGCAAGUUAGUCCCUAAACUUCAACUAUAAAUAGGCCUUUUCAUUUUUCAUUUCAACCAUCCCAACCAAUCUUUCUCUCUUAGUUUUCUCUCUUCUCCCAUUUGAGAAUUCUUAAUGAAUUCUAUUUGUUUGUAAUACUUUGAAGAUAGUAAAGUUAUCAUCUGGUGUUAGUGCCCGAGGACGUAGGUAUAAUUUACCGAACCUCGUUAAAACUCUUGUGUUCUUUCUUGUCCUAUUUUUCUUUCAAUAUUUGAGGGUAUAAUAGUAGUAUUUAAUUGUGCUAUUAAAUUACUAUAGAAGGGAUAUUCUGUCCAAGGAAAGACUUGGUAUUUAAGAGAUCCAUGUGAUCCACCUCUCUUUCCUGGGAAUUGAACUUUGUGUGAUUUUUUAGUACAAUAAUUUACACGCUUCCGACCCUAUUGGAACAACAAUUGAUGUGUGUAAUUUUAGAUUGAAGAAGAUGAACAAGUUGCUUGGUUUUGCUGAAACUAUGCCAUCUGUUUGUCAAAUGGAAAUGCAUCCUGGUUGGAGAAAUGAUAAGAUGUCGGAAGCUUGUAAACAGAAUGGCAUCCAUGUCACUGUAAGAUCUGAUCUAUCAUAUCAUAUAUUUGGAAUGAAUAAAUUAAUCAUUGGAUAUUCAUGAUGACGAUGAUGGAUUUGCAGGCAUAUUCACCACUUGGUUCACAAGAAGGUGGUAGAGACCUAAUCCAUGAUGAAACAGUGGAUAGAAUAGCAAAGAAGCUGAACAAAACACCAGGACAAGUGCUGGUAAAAUGGGCAAUACAAAGGGGAACCAGUGUCAUACCCAAAUCAAACAACCCUGAUAGGAUCAAAGAAAACAUUAAGGUGUUUGGGUGGGAAUUGCCACAAGAGGAUUUUCAAGCUCUUUGUAACAUCCCUGAUCAGGUAAUAAUAACAACAAUACAUAUCAGUUUAGUUUUGUAAUAAUUAAAACUUGGUUUGAAGGUUGAUUGAUGAAAGGGUCUUGUUUUGUUUUGUUUUUUUGCAGAAGAGAGUGUUGCAUGGAGAACAAUUGUUUGUGAACAAGAAUGCAGGGCCUUUAAGAAGUGUGGCUGAUGUAUGGGAUCAUGAAGAUUAGUAAUAAUAUAAUCCCAUUUUACAAUGUUGAUGUUCUUAUCAAUAAAUAAGAUGAUGAGGAUGAUGAUGAUGAUUCCAUGUGUGUUUGUAGUGAUGAUGAUAUGUUCUUAUAAAUAAAUUAUGUUGUUUCUAUACAGUAGUUUUUCUAGAAAUAUUUGGUGGCCAGACCUGGAUAGAGUUCUAAGCUACUAAUCACUCUGUCAUAGACACCAUUUACAACACUUAAUAGAGAACUGGAACUCAGGUGGUAUUUGGUUUCUUAGCAACAAAACCAAAUUUCUACCUGUCUGAAAAACACUUACAGAUCUUGAUAUUGUGAACAAUAAAUAUAAAUAUUUAUUUCUUAAAAUUAAUUAAUGAAUUAAAUAAAACAUGUAACUUUUUAAGUAAAUUGUAGUAGUUUUUAAAUUUGCAUAAUUAACAAAUUGAACUUUCAAUAUUUACCAAAAAAAAUUGACCUUCAACAUGUAGACAUUUUGUAAUUUAAUCCUCAUUUCAAAUGAUAUAAUGGGUAAAUAUUAAGAAUUAAAUUUAUUUUUAUGUCAAUUUUAAAAUUACCGCGUCAUCUUACUAUUAUCCAGUUACUGAAAUUGGACCAAAUGAAUAAAUUCUAUAAUAUCUAACUAAAACUCUUUAAAUUUGAGCUAAAAAUAACUUAUUUUAGUGUAAGAAUUUUAAUUUUAUCCUCUCACAAAUUCUCUUAAUUCUCUUAGUUUCAAAACGUGAAGAACUUGGGGAUAAGAGAUGAAAAUAAUCGCCAAUUUUCUGUUAAUUAAAUACCAAAAACUUGUUAAAAAUAGAAAAUGAAAAUGAAAGAUAAAGAAGGGAUAAUAUAAUUUUUGACUCCUAGACGUUCACCUUGGUAUUUAUGUUUUUUCUUUAUUCAGUUUGGUAGGGGAGAAUUCAGAAAUUUUUUAACAGGAGAUGAAAUUAAUUUUAAUUUUUCAUAGAUAAAAAAAAGUUUAUUAUGUAUUAAUUUAUAAUUCCAUCAUUUUUAAAGAGCCUAAAUAGAUUUUUUUCCAUUUUUUGGGGCUAAAUUGAAUUUUACUUUAUAUUAAUUAUAAUUUCUAUAUUUAUGAAAUGACUUAAAUGAAAAUCUUUCAUUCUGGGGUUAAAAUGCAAUUUCACUAGGUAUUGUAUUAAUUUAUAGUUUAUCUAUUUAUAAGAGGACUAAAUUGAAAAAAAAUCAUUUUGGGAGGGUCAAGGCCCAUGCCUGCCCCUGCAGAUUCGUUUUUGCACAUUUGCACCUAAACUUGACAAUUAAGUUCAUUUUGGUCUCUAAACUUAUAAAAGUUUGAUAAUGUGACAUACUAUAUUAUGCCAUAUCAGUAUGAACAUUAAAUAUAUAUAUAAAUUUUCAGGUGAUGAUGCGAUACAAUUUCAUAAUGUCACGUUCAUUAUUUUAAAAACUGGGCUUAAAUAGAUCAAAUCACCAAUUCUUAGUUUAAACAAUUUAAUUAAUACAACCAUUAAACCGACAAUAAUUACAUAAAUAAUUAAAAUUCAAAGUACAAGUAUCAAGUUUAACCAUUAAAGUAAAUCUAAUCCUCAAAUUCAAAUACUAAAAUAAACAAAAAUAAAAAAUACACUCAAAUUCAAAUAUAAAGACACAUUUAAAAUCAACAUUCGUUAUCUAAUACAUAAAGCAAGGAAUAAAGGAAAACAAAAAAGUAAAACAUAUAUUUUUAGUAUCAGCUAAUAUUCUCUUACUUAGACUACACUCAAACCCAUCGCAUCCCAUUCUUUGUAAUUAUACAGAAGAAACAUAUAUAGGUAUAGGCAACCCACCAUUGAAGCGAAAGUACCAUAGCAAGUUUAAACAGACUCCUACAAAUAAAGAUUUGGAAUCCUUCCCUUCUAAUUUUCUGCUUUGUUUGAGUUAUUCAAUUUCAAUUUUUUUUCUCUACCACGUCGAAAGAGACAGAAAGGCAGGAGAAAUGGAAGAGCUAAAGUACUAUGGGCAUCAACAUCCACUGUUGAUGUUAAAUGAAGAGCAGUUGAUUGACAAUGGCAAUGGAAUUGUUGAUUGCUCAAGGUGUGGGGAGAAGGUGUCAGCUCCAUGUUUUAGCUGUGUGGAGUGCUGUGGGUGUUACCUCCACAAGACAUGUGCCGAGGCACCUUUGGAGCUUAAUCAUCCUUUUCAUCGCCACCAUCCUCUCGUGCUUUUGCAGAAUCCACCAUCUUCUUACACAAGGUGCGUUUGCGAUUUCUGUAAUGAAACAUGUGAAAAAUUCAUUUACCAUUGCUCUUGUGGCUUGGACUUUCAUAUUAAAUGUGCUUUGUUUACAUUUAAUAUUGUUGAAAGAAAUUUGAAAGAGCUUGAGCAUGUUGCCCUUGAGGAUCCAUCGUUUUCCUCUAAAAACAAUGGUGGAAACCUGGGUAAGUGCUUUGGGUGUUGGGAACCAUUAGAAUUUUAUACAUACUUCUCUCUUGAUUGUGGGUUUAACUUGCAUAAGAAGUGUGCUGAUCUUCCUCUCAAAUUAGAUCAUUUGUGCCAUCGCAGGCAUCCUCUUGUUCUGCAAUUUAAUAGUGAACGGCUUUCUUGCAAAGUAUGCCAAGUAACCCAACAAAGAGGAAUUGUGUAUGGUUGUUCACCAUGUAAGUUGGCUAUUCACAUUGAUUGUGCAUCUCCAUUACCAGCUAUUGAAUAUAAAAGUCAUCAACACCAGUUCACCUUAUUUUGGAGACAAAAUCCAUUCAUUUGUGAUGCUUGUGGAACUGAAGGACAUCAUGUUGCCUAUACAUGUGGUACGUGCAGUAUUAUGGUCCAUAAAAAAUGCAUUUCAUUGCCACGCAUUAUCCGACACAAGUUGCAUAUCCAUCGUCUUUUUCACAAGUAUUUCAUUCACAAGGAAUAUUUUGAAAGUUUGAAUUGCAGAUGGUGCCAUGAAGUUGUUGAUACAGAGUACGGUAGUUACUUCUGUGCAGAUUGCAAUGUUAUAUUCCAUGUGAAUUGUGUAUUCAAAAAACAGGAGUGGUAUUGCAUAGUGUCACAGGAAAAUGAAGAAGACAAGUCUCUUGAUAUACCUGUUAACUCCAUCACUAAGGUUCUUGAGAGGAAUGAUGAUGGAGAAGCCACAGUAAUAGAACAUUUCAAGCAUAAGCACUACUUGAUGUUAAGUGACAACAUCAGAGAGCAUGGUGAUAAAUGUUGUGAUGGGUGCUUGUUAUUGAUCUCCGCUAAGUUCUAUCAUUGCUCGGGGUGUGAUUUCUUUCUUCAUAAAUCUUGUGCUGAAUUACCUAAGAUAAGGCUUUUCUCGGUACAUGUUUAUUGUGAAGAAGAGCCUUUUUCUGGAUCAAAACCCCUCAUUCUUACUUCAGACUGCAUGUUCAAAUGUGACGGAUGCGGGUACCUUUCUAAUGGAUUUUCUUAUAAAUGUAAUAAAUGUGGAUUUGACAUGUGCCUUCGAUGUGCAGCUCUAGUUCUCCAAGAUGCUGUGAAAAUUCCAGGGCAUAAACACCCUAUUCUUUACUAUUAUGAUUAUGAGGGGCAGUGUAGUGCUUGUGGGAGGGGUACCAUUUCCGCAAUUAGUUGUAAGGAUUGUAAUUUUGAUUUAUGCGGUUCGUGUGUUAUGCGACACAAAUGCGAUGAACAUCUUCUUACACUCACUUAUGACAAGAUUAAUGAUUAUACAAAAUAUCAUUAUUGUGACAUUUGUGAGAAAGAAAGGGAUCCAAAGCACUGGUUUUACUAUUGCGAAACUUGUGACAUUUCUACUCACGUGGAUUGCGUUCUUGGAGGAUACCCAUUCAUCAAACUUGGGAGCACCUACAAUGAGAGAAACCAUGAGCACCCUCUCACUUUUGUCAAGAAGAUUCAUUACUAUCCUGAAUGUGUUAAAUGUGGUAAGCCUUGUGAAGAUCUUUCUCUUGAAUGUGCAGAACCAGGAUGUAACUAUAUUGCUCACUGGAAAUGCAGAAAACUAGCAACCCGUGGUAGGUACUGAAAAUUGCGGCUUCAGUUUCACAAUAAGAUAGUGUAUGGUGGUUGUUAAUGGUUACUACUUUUUAUUUGUGUGUUUAAAUAAUGUAAUAUUUUUUAUGUUUGAACUCUAAAUAUAUGAGAAUAAAAUUGAUAUGAUUUGCUUAUUUCUUGUUUAAUUUUCAUAUAAUAAUUUUGUUGCAUGCUAAGUAAAAUCAUAAUAAUAGAAGAAUAUGGACCUUGAUUAAAUGGAACAAUUUAAUUUUAGUCUUUCUAAAAUAUUAAAAAUUCAAUUUAAUCCUUUUUAAUUUUUUUUUGUUAAAUGAAAAUUUUUCAUUUUUGAUCCUUUCAAAAGUUUAAUAUUUAUUUUAAUGCAAAGAAUUUUAGCUUUAACCUCUCAAAAAUUCUCUUAAUUCUCUUAAUUUCAAACCGUGAAUACCUUGGAUAAGGGAUGAAAAUGAGUGCCAAUUUUCUCUUAAUUAAAUACCAAAAAUUGUAUAAAAAAAAGGGGAAAAAAAUGAAAGAUAAAGAAGGGAUAAUAUAAUUUUUGACCCCUAAACAUUCACUUUGGUAUUUGUACUUUUUUUUUGUUCACUUUGGAAGGGGCGAAUCUAGAAAUCUUUUUAACAAGGGGCGAAAUUAAUUAUAAUUUUUUCAUAGAUAAAAAAAUAAGUUUAUUAUGUAUUAAUUUAUAAGUUCAUGAUUUUUGAAGGAAUUAAACAUAUUUUUUUUCAUUUUCAGGGGGCUAAAGAGAAAAUUUGCUAUAUAUUAAUUUAUAAUUUUUUAUUUAUAAAAGGAUUGAAAUGAAUUUUUUUUCAUUUUGGGGGGCUAAAAUAAAAUUUUAUUACACAUUAAUUUUAAGAGUGUCAAAUUUAGUGUUUUAAUAAUUGAACUUGAAUAGGUCAAAUCACUGAUUCUCGAUUCGACGUUGGACCAACAAUAAUUAAAUAAUUAAUUAAAAUUCAUAAAAUAUUCAAGUACCAAGUUUAAGGAUCAAAAUGAAUUUAGUUGUCAAAUUCAAAGACCAAAGUAAAAAAAAUAAAAGUAUCAAAUAAAAUUUAUUUAUUAAGUUUAAGGGCCAAAAACUAUAUUAUCCCAAUAAAGAAAGGUAGAUAGAUUCGUAGGAAGAUCUUAUUGGGACGGCAAUGGCCUUUUUUUACCAAGAAAAAUAGGUUUAGACAAAUUGCAUCAAUUUUUUGAGACCUUUUUUGUGGAAUGGUCAUAAAAAGACUUUGGCCAUUCAAAUAAAAUUGACUUUAUGUUUUGUUUGGUACAAAAAAUUGACUUUAUUCUAAUGCAAAUUCAAUAUUCGAAUUAUAUUAGCUUAUUGAGUUUUAGUUCGAUUGGUAUGGUAUUGUUCUCAAUACAGGAGGAUAGGGUUUAAGUGCAUUGAAGCGCAUUAUCCCUAUAUUUAUCGGUUGAGAAGGGAUAUUGGUAGUUCUAGGUAUUGUGUCAAAAAGAGUAGAGCAUAUAUGAUCAAAACAUUUAAUGAGAUUGUUAAAAAAUAUAUUCAAAAUAUAUUAAUAAUUUUAUUUGAUUUUUGAAAAUAUAUUUUAUUUAAAAAACCAAUUUUUCAAGAAAAUGAAAACGAAAAUAGUCUUUAUUUAUUGAAAUCAAAUGGAGCUUAAAUUCACAAUAUCACACUUUAGUGUUUUAAUUAAGUUCUUUUAAAAUAGGGAUUUAAAGAGAAUUUUUAAAAAAUUUGAAGGGUCAUAAUUAAAAGUUUUAAAAUUUUUUAAGGGUAUAAUGAAAAUUUUCCUAAUUUAUAUAUUUACAAAAACUUGCUGCGAACAUGAAAAAGGAAGCACAUAUAUACAAGGGCACAUAUAAAUUUAUUUUGAAAUGGAUUAAAUAGAAUUUUUUUUUUUCAUUUUGGUGGCCAAAGUACAAUUUUACUAUAUAUAAAUUCAUAAUUUAAUGGUUUUUAAAAGGGUUGAAAUGUAAUUUUUCAUUUUUUGGGGGGCGCCUAGGGCACUACUUACCCCUUUGCAUUCACCCCUAGUUGUAUUAAAAAAAGAGAGUAAAAUUCUGCUAUAAUUAAUUCAUGUACUCUAAGUAAGUUGUAGAUUUAGUCAUUAUAUUUUAACUUGAUCAAUUUUAGUUCUUUUACUUUUAGAAUUGAUCAACUUUAGUUUAUGUACUUUCUAUAUUUUGAAAUGUCAGUCCUGAGCCAAACGGUAUUAGUUAAAUUCUUGUUGGUUAUACACAAAAUUAUAAAUUUAGUUCAUAUUCUCCAAUUAAUUCAUUUUUAAUCACUGCAAUUGGGUUAGUCACUUAGGGAUUCGGCUCACAAGCCAAUAACUCCGUCAAGACCGCCAUUGUUGAGGUACUUGUACUUUGUUUCAAGUAUUUUUGUAAAUAUUUGUCUUUGGGAGCUAAAUUAUAUUUUUAUUAUUUAACUAAAUUUAUAAUUUUAAAAAUUUUGAAGGAUUAAAAUGAUAAUUAUUUUGAGGAGUCAAGGCCCCUACGUUUCCUCUUGGCGCCGUCCCUGUUCUUUGUAUUAAAUUUUCAUUAACAUUUCACAAUGGUUGCAGGGUGGUUAUAGACAUAUAGAUACAGCUUGGGAAUACGGUGUUCAAGAAAGUGUAUGUAUCUCUUUCUCCCCCAACACUAUGAAAGUUGUAAAUUUUCAAUUUUCAUGAAACAAUAAUUUUAUAUUCCAUUAAAACUUUUCAUUUUAUUUAUCAGGUUGGCCAUGGAGUCAAAGCAGCAAUACAUGCAGGAGUAGAAAGAAGGGAUCUUUUCAUUACAUCCAAGCUAUGGUGCACCGAGUUGAGUCCAGAGCGAGUUCGACCUGCUUUAUUGAACACUCUCCAAGAACUCCAACUUGAAUACCUUGAUCUUUACCUGGUAAUCUGAUCAAAAUGUCAUUUACAUCAACAUGUUCGACGAUGAAAUGCCUGAAAGACUUUUCAUUGCAGAUACAUUCGCCAUUUAGGCUAGCAGAUGGAGCAAGCAGACCACCUAAACCAGGUGACGUACAAGAAAUGGACAUGGAAGGUGUCUGGAGAGAAAUGGAGAGACUUGUAAAAGACAAGCUGGUUAGAGACAUUGGUGUGUGUAAUUUUAGAUUGAAGAAGAUGAACAAGUUGCUUGGUUUUGCUGAAACUAUGCCAUCUGUUUGUCAAAUGGAAAUGCAUCCUGGUUGGAGGAAUGAUAAGAUGUCGGAAGCUUGUAAACAGAAUGGCAUCCAUGUCACUGUAAGAUCUGAUCUAUCAUAUCAUAUAUUUGGAAUGAAUAAAUUAAUCAUUGGAUAUUCAUGAUGAUGAUGAUGGAUUUGCAGGCAUAUUCACCACUUGGUUCACAAGGAGGUAGGGACCUAAUCCAUGAUGAAACAGUGGAUAGAAUAGCAAAGAAGCUGAACAAAACACCAGGACAAGUGCUGGUAAAACGGGCAAUACAAAGGGGAACCAGUGUCAUACCCAAAUCAAACAACACUGAUAGGAUCAAAGAAAACAUUAAGGUGUUUGGGUGGGAAUUGCCACAAGAGGAUUUUCAAGCUCCUUGUAACAUCCCUGAUCAGGUAAUAAUAACAACAAUACAUAUCAGUUUAGUUUUGUAAUAAUUAAAACUUGGUUUGAAGGUUGAUUGAUGAAAGGUUUUGUUUUGUUUUUUUUUGCAGAAGAGAGUGUUGCAUGGAGAACAAUUGUUUGUGAACAAGAAUGCAGGGCCUUUAAGAAGUGUGGCUGACAAUAAAUACGAUGAUGAUGAUGAUGAUGAUGAUGAUGAUGAUGAUGAUGAUUCCAUGUGUGUUUGUAGUGAUGAUGAUAUGUAACCAAAAAUACUUAGAUUUGAAAUAAAAAUAAAUAAAUCCUGUUUGAGAAAAGAAGGUCCACAGAUUUUAUAGUCAACGAAUAAAGGGUUGAUUUAUAAGAAGAAGAUGGACCUGGCAGGCAGGUAGGCUUUUUGAUUAAAUGUUACAAUUUAAUUUUAGUUUUUUUAAAUAUUAAAAAUUCAAUUUAAUCCUUUUUAAUUUUUUUAAAUAAUUUUUUUUCAUUUUUGACCCUUUCAAAGUUUCAAAACGUGAUAAGAGAUGAAAAUAAGCUCCAAUUUUCGCUUAAUUAAAUACCAAAAUUUGUUAAAAUAGACAAUAAAAUGAAAGAUAUAGAAGGGAUAAUAUAAUUUUUAUCCCACAACUAGGUUUAUUUUGGUAUUUUUAAGUUUUUUUAUUCGGGUGAAUCCAUAAAUUUUUUUAACAGCGCCAAAAUUAAUUGUAAUUUUUUAUAAAUAAAAAAAGUUUAUUAUGUAUUAAUUUAUAAUUCUAACAUUUUUAAAGGGUUUAAACUGAAUUUUUUUCAUUUUUAAGGGCUAAACUGAAAAUUUUUAUUUAUAUUAAUUAUAAUUUCUUUAUUUAUAAAAUGACUUAAAUGAAAAUAUUAUAUUUUAGGGUCAAAAUGUAAUUUCAAUAGGUAUUAAUUUAUAGUUUAUCUAUUAUAGGAGGACUAAAUUGAAAAAAAUCAUUUUUGGGGGACAAGGCCCUUGCUUUGCCCCUUCCAGUCCGCUUUUGUACAUUUACACAUGAACUUAACAACUAAGUCCAUUUUGAUGUCUGAACCUAAAAAUUAUAAAUGUUCGAUAAUGUGACACUUUAAUAUUAUGACAUAUCAACAUUUGAAAAUUAAAAUAUAUAUGUAUAUAUAAAUUUUUAGGUGAUAAUAGCAGUACAAUCUUUCAGUGUUUUAAUAACUAGGCUUGAAUAGGUUAGAUCACCAGUUCUCAAUUUAAUCAAUUCGAUCAAUACAACCAUUAAACCAACAAUAAUUAUAUAAAUAAUUAAAAUUCAUAAAAAAAAUACAAAUAUCAAGUUUAACUAUCAAAAUAAAUUUAAUUAUUAAAUACAAAUAUUAAAAUAGACAAAAAUAAAAAAUAUACUCAAAUUUAAAUAUCAAAACAGAUCCCACAUCAACAUUCAUUAUCUAAUACACAAAGCAAGGAAUAAGGAAAACAAAAAGUAAAACAUAUAUAGGUAUAGGCAACCCACCAUUGAAGCAAAGUACCAUAGCAAGUUUAAACAGACUCCUACAAAUAAACAUUUGGAAUCUCUCCCUUCUAAUUUUCUGCUUUCUUUUACUUAUUCUAUUUCAACUUUUUUUCUCUACCACAUCGAAAGAGACUGAGAGGAAGGAGAAAUGGAAGAGCUAAAGUACUAUGGGCAUCAACAUCCACUGUUGAUGUUAAAUGAAGAGCAGUUUGGAGUUGUUGAUUGCUCAAGGUGUGGGGAGAAGGUGUCAGCUCCAUGUUUUAGCUGUGUGGAGUGCUGUGGGUUUUACCUCCACAAGACAUGUGCCGAGGCACCUUUGGAGCUUAAUCAUCCUUUUCAUUGCCACCAUCCUCUCGUGCUUUCGCAGAAUCCACCUUGCGCUUCUUAUGAAAGGUGCGUUUGCGAUUUCUGUGAUGAAACAUGUGAGAAAUUCAUUUACCAUUGCUCUUGUGGCUUGAACUUUCAUAUUAAAUGUGCUUUGUUUACAUUUAAUAUUGCUGAAAGAAAUUUGAAAGAGCUCGAGCAUGUUGCCCUUGAGGAUCCAUCGUUUUCCUCUAAAAACGAUGGUGGAAACCUGCGUAAGUGCUUUGGGUGUUGGGAACCAUUAGCAAUUUAUACAUACUUCUCUCUUGAUUGUGGGUUUAAUUUGCAUAAGAAAUGUGCUGAGCUUCCUCUCAAAAUGGAUCGUUUGUGCCAUCGCAAACAUCCUCUUGUUUUGCAAUUUAAUUGUGAACGGCAUGCUUGCAAAGUAUGCCAAUUAACUCAACGAAGAGGAUUUGUGUAUGGUUGUUCACCUUGUGAGUUGGCUAUUCACAUUGAUUGUGCAUCGCCAUUACCAGUUAUCGAACAUAAAAGUCAUCAACACCCAUUCACCUUGUUUUGGAGACAAAUUCCAUUCAUUUGUGAUGCUUGUGGCACUGAAGGACAUCAUGUUGCCUAUAUAUGUUGGACAUGCAGUAUUAUGAUCCAUAAAAAAUGCAUUUCAUUGCCACGCACUAUCCAACACGCGUUCCAUGUCCAUCGUGUUUUUCACACGUAUUUCAUUCGCAAGGAAUAUUUUGAAAGUUUGAAUUGCUUAUGGUGUCAUGAAGUUGUCGAUACAGAACUCGGUAGUUACUUCUGUGCAGAUUGCAAUGUUAUAUUCCAUGUGAAUUGUGUAUUCAAAAAACAGGAGUGGUAUUGCAUAGUGUCACAGGAAAAUGAAGAAGACAAGUCUCUUGAUAUACCUGUUAACUCCAUCACUAAGGUUCUUGAGACGAAUGAUGAUGGAGAAGCCACAGUAAUAGAACAUUGCAAGCAUAAGCACUACUUGAUGUUAAGUGACAACAUCAGAGAGCAUGGUGAUAAAUGUUGUGAUGGGUGCUUCUUAUUUAUCUCCCCCAAGUUCUACCAUUGCUCGCGAUAUGAUUUCUUUCUUCAUAAAUCUUGUGCUGAAUUGCCUAAGAUGAAGCUUUUUUCGAAACAUAAUAUUUGUGGAGAAACGGAAUUUUUUUCUGGAUCAAAACCCUUUAUCCUUACUUCAGACUGCAUGUUCAGUUGUGAAUUGUGCGAGUACCUUUCUAAUGGAUUUUCUUAUAAAUGUAAUGAAUGUGGAAGUCAGAUAUGCCUUCGAUGUCUUGAUCUAUUUCUCCAAGAUGCUGUAAAAAUUCCAGGGCAUAAACACCCUCUUCUUUUCUAUUAUGAUUAUGAGGAGCAGUGUUGUGCUUGUGGGAGGGAUAUCAUUCGCGCAUUUUGUUGUAAGGAUUGCAAUUUUCAUAUAUGCAAUUUGUGUGUUAUACGACCAACUAGAGUUAGACACAAAUGUGAUGAACAUCUUCUUAUACUCACUUAUGAUAAGAUUAAUGAUUAUGUAAAAUAUCAUUAUUGUGACAUUUGUGAGAAAGAAAGGGAUCCAAAGCUCUGGUUUUAUCAUUGCAAAACUUGUGACACUUCAGCUCACGUGGAUUGCGUUCUUGGAAAAUAUUCAUUCAUCAGACUCGGGAGCACCUACAAUGAGGGAAACCAUCAACACCCUCUCACUGAAAAUCUUUCUCUUGAAUGUGCAGAACCCAGAUGUAACUAUAUUGCUCACUGGAAAUGCAGAAACCAGCAAUCCGUGGUAGGUACUAAAAAUUGCGGCUUCAGUUUCACAAUAAAACAGUGUAUGGUUGUUGUUAAUGGUUACUACUUUUUAAUUAUGUGUUUAAAUAAUGUAAUGUUUUUAAGUUUGAACUCUAAAUAUAUGAGAAAAAAAUUAAUAUGAUUUGCUUAUUUCUUGUUUAAUUUUCAUAUAAUAAUUUUGUUGCAUGCUAAGUAAAAUCAUAAUAAUAGAAUGUUAAUUAUUAUUUUCCUUAGAUUCCAUGAAUAAUUAGUCCUUAUGUGCUACCUUCCAUAUUUAUAUAAGUUGAAUAUAGUUAGAUGUAAAAAUAAUUGUUUACAAUCCGUUUGUUUCCUGAAAAUUUUAUUUAGAAUUGAUGUAAAAUAUUUUCAUUAAUUUGAUAAAUUUUCUGAAAAUAUUUCAUAAAAGAUAUUUUCAAAGAAACAAAUAUACUUCAAUGAAUAAAGAGUUGAUUUAUUAGACGAAUAUGGACCUUGAUUAAAUGGUACAAUUUAAUUUUAGUUCUUCUAAAAUAUUAAAAAUUCAAUUUAAUCCUUUUUAAUUUUUUUUGUUAAAUGAAAAGUUUUCAUUUUCAAUCUUUUCGAAAGUUUAAUAUUUAUUUUAAUGCAAGAAUUUUAGCUUUAACCUCUCACCAUGAAUACCUUGAUAUAAUGGAUGAAAAUGAGCCCCAAUUUUCUCUUAAUUAAAUACCAAAAAUUGUAAAAAAAAUAGAAAAUAAAAAUGAAAGAUAUAGAAGGGAUAAUAUAAUUUUUGACCCCUAAACGUUUACUUUGAUAUCUGUACUUUUUUUUGUUCACUUUGGCAGGGGCAAAUUUAGAAAUUUUUUUAACAAGGGGCGAAAUUAAUUAUAAAUUUUUCAUAGAUAAAAAAAAUAAGUUUAUUAUGUAUUAAUUUAUAAUUUCAUGAUUUUUGAAGGAAUUAAACAUAUUUUUUUCAUUUUUAGUGGGCUAAAGAGAAAUUUUACUAUAUAUUAAUUUAUAAUUUCUUUAUUUAUAAAAGAAUUGGGAUGAAUUUUUUUCAUUUUGGGGGCCAAAAUAAAAUUUUACUACACAUUAAUUUUAAGAGUGUCAAAUUCAAUGUUUUAAUUACCGAUGUAAUGGCCCAUUUUCAGUAAAAUUGGAAUAGUGGUUUCGUGACCAUAAAUCCGAUCUAGAAAGAAAAUUUAUUUUAAUAUUGUGGCAUAAUCUAUAUUACGAUAGGAAUAUUGCAUGAAAAUUUUGAUAGGAAAAUUUUAUUGAUUAUAUAGUUAAAUUGAUAAAAAGAGAAAAGAAAAAAAUGCAUUCUCGGGACUCCGUUCCGAUAAAUUGGAUUCGUAAAUAUUUAUUAUAAAUAUUUAGGAAGCUAGUUGUGUGUCUAAUUAGGUUUUGAUUAGGUGAAUUCGACUUAAUUAGAAGUAAUUAGGAAAAAGGAUUAGAUUGAAAUAAGUAUGAAAGUUUAAUUAUAGAUUAAAGAAAAUAAAAAAGACUAAAUAAGUACAUAUGCUAUUAUUAUAAAAUGAGGCGGUUUAACGUUAAAUGAAAAAGAAAAUCUAAGAUAUUUUUGAUAUAAAAUAUAUAUUAUAUUAACUUAAUAUUUAAGUAUUAAUAUAUAAUAUAUUAUAUAAAACAUAAAGUAAAGUAAAGUAAAGAAACAGAAGAAAAAGAAGAAACAAAACAGAAUAGCAAGGACGAAAUAGAGAAAGAGGGAGAAAGAAAAAGAAAAAGAAAAUUUGAGAUUUCAAGGGUUCAAAUUCAAUUUGGUAAAUCAAUUUAAUUCAUUUUCUUGUAAUUAUUGAGUUUUUAUAAUCCUAGAACAAAAUACUAUUAGGUAUAUGUUGAAAUUUUGAGAGUUAGUAGAUUUUUUUAUAUAGUUUAUGUUGAAUUUAUGGAUAAAUUAGAGAUUGAGCUUAUGAAAAAUUCAAAUUAGAAUUGAGAAAAAAGAUUGAAUUGUGAAAUAGAUUGCAAUAAGGAGUAAAUUAUAAGAAGUUUGAAAUUGGGGUUUAUUAGUGAAAAUUUGGGAGUUAAACUAAGUUUUAAGUAGCAUUUAAAUAAAAAUAAAGUAUAGAUUGUAAUAGAAAUGGAAAUAAUUUUAGUUAUGGAAUAAAUUGAAAUGUAAGUUAUUGUAAGAAAUGAUGAAUUUAUUAUAUCAUACAUGUUUAUUUUUUUUAAUAGCAUAGGAAAGUCAUUUAAUUAUUUUUCUCUAACAUAUAAAUGUUAUAUGUUUUAUAUGAAAUUGAAGAGAAAGAAAAGAAAGGAGAGGACCUAAUUGAAGAAAAAGGAAAAGAGAAGGCUAAGGAGUGAAGGAAUACAUCAUCUCAAUCUUUUGGUUGUAAGUACUACAAGAUUUUUUUUAAAUUAAUUUUAUUUAGAUGUAUUGUUGUAUAGAAUUAUUUAGAAAUAAAAAUGUAAUACAUAUGUAUAUAUUUAAAUUUAUAAGUAAAUAAUAAUAAUAAUAAUAGAUUAUGGAAUUGUGAAAUUAUGAAAUUUGAAAAGAAAAUUAUAAUUGGAGAAUAUAAGAAGUUGUAUUGUUUGAACAUUAAGUAAUAAUGUUGUGACAAAAGUAUAUGUGUGAAAAAGAUGUGAUAUUUGUUAAUUGUGUAAUAUGCACUAAAUUGUAAUGAUGAAGAAAUGAGAAAUCUUUUUCGAGAUAUUUAUGUAAUGUAUUUAAAUGUAUGAAAUUCAGUUUUAAUGCCCAAGUAGAUGAGUUUAGAACUACUAGGAUAUUAGUGGCAUGCCAUUAAGGAACUCUAGUGCGCUCUCUAAUUAUUACCACAUUAGUGCUCUCCGUUCUAUUAUUAGCACGUUAAGUGCUCUCUGUUCGCUUGUGCAUAAUAAUAUGCACUUCUGUAUUUGUUCCGUAUAUUCAGUGUGUUCUAUAAAGUCUACUUUGGGCUAAAGUUAUAAGUUGUGAACCAAAGCGAAUUAUCAAUGUACUAAGGUAAGUUUUAUAACUUAUAUAAUAAUAAAUUAAAUUUUGUUAAUAUAAGAUACAACUAAAGAAACUUAUAUGCAUAUAAAUAUAUAUUGAUCAAAUUAUAAUAUUUUAAUAGGAUUUAUUUGUCUAUUUAUUCUUGUAGUGCUUGCUAAGUCUUCACCGGCUUAACGCGUUUAAUUUUAACGCGUAGGUACAGUUAGACUCGAAGAGGUAGAGUCGGCUAGAAGAUCUCUCAUCUCAUCACAUCCUCAAGAGCUUCAUAAGUAGGUACCAUAUUUUGAAUUAAAAGUGGCAUGUACAUAGGUGUUAUUUUGAUCACAUUAGAAUGUUACAAGACUUUUGUUACAAAAAAAAAUGAUAUUUAGUAUUUUAAUGUUUAUACUAAUGAAAUGGUAUAAAAGUUUAUAUAGUAUAUAUAUAUGGUAUUGGUUGUUUUUGGUUUGAACUUGCAGGGGGUUUUAUACAAAAUAAGCAAAAAUGCUGCCGAAAUUUAAAAAAAAAUUACGUUCCACUCCUAAUACGUAUUUUGGGCCUCGAGGGUCUAUUAUAAAGACUUAAAAGUUAAACUAUGCUAUGAAUGUUAUUUAUUUAUGAAUUAUUUCUAAGUUGUCCAAUAUAUCCGAUAAUGCUCCGUAACCCUAAUCCGAUGAUGAUUUAGGGUUUAAAGGUGUUACAACCGAACUUGAAUAGGUCAGAUCACUGAUUUUUAAUUCAAUCAGUACAACCGUUGGACCAAUAAUAAUUAAAUAAAUAAUUAAAAUUCAUAAAAUGUUCAAGUACCAAGUUUAAGGACCAAAAUGAAUUUAGUUAUCAAAUUCAAAGACCAAAGUAAAAAAAAAUACAAGUAUCAAAUAAAUAUUAAUUAUUAAGUUUAAGGGUCAAAAACUAUAUUAUCCCAAUAAAGAAAGGUAGAUAGAUUCGUGGUCCCAAUGACCUUUUUUUUUUUUUACCAAGAAAAAUAGGUUUAGACAAAUUGCAUCAAUAUUUUGAGACCUUUUUGGUGGUAUGAUCAUAAAAAGACUUUGGCCAUUCAAAUAAAAUUGACUUUAUUUUAAUGCAACUUCAAUAUUCGAAUUAUAUUAGUUGAUUGAGUUUUAGUUCGAUUGGUAUGGGUAUUAGUUCUAAUGCAGGAAGACGUGGGUUUGAGUGCGUUGAAACGCAUUAUCCUCCUAUUUAUGGGUUGAGAAUGGGCUAUGGAUAGUUCUAGACAUUGUAUCAAAAAGAGCAAAGCAGAUAUGAUCAGAAUCUAUCAUGAGAUUGUUAAAAAUAAUAUUCAAAUUAUAUUAAUAAUUUUAUUUGUUUUUUGAAAAUAUUUUUUAUUUGAAAAACCAGUUUUUCAAGAAAAUGAAAAUGACAAUAGUCUUUAUUUAUUGAAAUCAAACUAAGCCUAAAUUCACAAUAUCACACUUUAGUGUUUUAACAUUAAGUUUUGAGGGGAUUUAAUUAAGUUAUUUUAAAAUUAGGGAUUUAAAGAGAAUUUUCAAAAAAUUUGAAGGGUCUUAUUUAAAAGGUUUAAAAUUUUUUAAGGGUAUAAUGAAAAUUUUCCUAAUUUAUAUAUUUACAAAAACUUGCUGAUAACCUGCUAACAUGAAAAAGGAAGCAAAUAUAUACAAGGGCACAUAUAAAUUUAUUUUGAAAUGGAUUAAAUAGAAUUUUUUUUCAUUUUGGUGACCAAAGUGCAAUUUUACUAUAUAUAAAUUUAUAAUUUAAUGGUUUUUAAAGGGGUUGAAAUGAAAUUUUUCUUUGUUUUGGGGCGCCUAGGGCACUACUUAGCCCUUUACAUUCACCCUUAGUUGUAUUAAAAUAAAUUUUAGUUCCUUUGCUUUUAGAAUUGGUCAAACUUUAGUCUAUGUACUUCCUAUAUUUUGAAAUCUUGAUCUAAACGGUAUUAGUUAAAUCCAUAUUGGUUAUAUUUUGCUAUUAGUCUUAUACUAUAUGCAAAGUUAUAAAUUUAGUCUAUAUUCUCUAAUUAGAUCAUUUUUAAUCCUAUAUUUCUCGAAUUUCAAAAUUUUAGUAUUGACUCCAUUAACGGAAUUUUUUAUAAAUAUUAUUUGAAAAUAACAAGCUAACAUGACAUGAUACAUAUGAUAAUAUAUUUGCCACGUAAGAUUUCUGAAAAAAAACAUAACUAAACUUAAUGAACUUAACGGCUACAGUUUAGUUAAUUAAGACUAAAAUUUUAAAAUUCGAAAAAUAAAGGGACAAAAAUACCAAAUUAUAGUGAUAUAAUCCCAACUUAUACAUAAUAUAGGGACUAAUAGUAAAAUAUAACCAAAAAACUAAAUUACAAUAAACCCCCCCAAAAGAAAACAAUAAAACAAUAAAAAUGUAUGAAUAUUUCAAAAUUUAUACAUAAGGUGUAAAAAUUUUAUAUAUUACCUUAAAUAAUAACAAAUACAACCUUUGGUAAUUGUUUUCUGCAAAAAUAAUGUGAAUAUAUAUAUAUUGCUAAAAAUCAUAAAAUUAAAAAAACCAGACAGCCUAUGAUUCUGUAAUAAUUGUAUGUACAUUAUAUAACCACAAAAACUAACUGAUCUAAAAAUUGGGAAAAAUAUUUUUUUUAAAUCUAUACCAAAAAAUGAAGAACAAAUUCGUAUAAGUGGCAGCUAGUUGUUGAUGUCGUUGAUUCCUUUGCUAGGUGCAGAAGGUGGUAUCGGUACUCCCUUGGGAAGCAUGCUGAAGAUCAUCGGACCAUAUUUUCCUGCGAGUCUUUGAGUCGGAGACUUAAGGAUUCCGACGUGGGGUUUCUUCAUGGGAACCAUAUGAAUAUCACAUGGCUGAGGUUGAGGCUCAGGGUCUUGUUUCGAUACGUCGAGAACGACGUCGGUUUUGUGGUCUUCGACUUCGACGAGAUCGGCUAAAGCAAGGUCCAAGGUUGUCUCCGUGGUGGACGGCGGCGAGUCGCUCAAGAGCCUGGCGGAAGAUGGCGAUGUAGAGAUGGUGAAGAUGAAGAAUAAGAGGAGCACGGCCGCGAGGUAUUUGGAUUUAUAGAAGGUAGCCAUUAAUGGACAAUUGUUGGAGGAUUAAUUUGAAAGUUUUUUUGGGUUUAAAGGGCUUCUUUUUGACGAUUAAUUUGAAGGGGUUUUGAGGGUUUAUAUAGCACAUGAAAUGGAAAUUCGCUGUCUUCAGAGUUGACAAAGUCUGUUUGGGUUUCGAGAAAACUAUGACAAGUUCACGCGCUUGACAUUUCUUUCAUUUUCUUGGUAAGCAAGUCACCUAAUUUGCUGAUUUUUUUCCUUUGGUUAAUUGACAUGGAAGCCCUUGUAUUAAGAGUUGAAUUGCAUUUUACCUUACUUAAAAAAUAGACAAAUUAAUCCCUAUAUGUUAAAUAAAAGAGCAAACUAGUCAUUCUGUUAUAAUUUCCUUACAUUCCUACUAUUAAAAUUUUAUAUAUGUACAUCAACGUAAAUUACAAGUGGCACGUUACAUGUCACUAUUCAAUUAUUCCAUCGUAACGCCACUUUUUAGCAGUGCAAAUUAAUGAAAUUUUUAAUAUAAAGGAUCAAUUUGCUCUUUAGUCUAACAUACAAGGACUAAUUUGUUCAUUUUUUAGUGGAGGGGAAAAAUACAAUAUGGUUCUUAACAUAGGCCUCCAUGGUACUUUUACUUUACAAAGUAUUAAUAUCUUGUCACAAUCAAUUUUUUCUGUCAACUUAGCUAUUAGCUUGGGUGUUAAUUGUCGGCUUAAAUCUAACAUAGAGUUUAUACCGAAACAUGUGAAUCAAAUUAUAAAUAUGUUUAUGCCUACUAUAUAAAUAAUUUGGAUAUGAUAUGUUAAAAAAAUAACUUUGUUAAAUUUAUUAAUAUUUCAUUUUUUAAACUUGUUAUAUCUAAGUUGCUUAUGCAAUAAGUAUACUCAUUUUUUAGAUAUACUCUACGUCAAAUUUGAAUUGGUAUUUAAACCUUAAAUUGAUGAUUAGGCUAACAGAAGGACCUAAUUGAUGCAAAUAUUAAUACAUUGAGAACUCGAUUAAAACAGUUUGAAGCAUAAUGGUUGUUUUAAAAUCUAUAUGAUAGUUUGAGGACAUUUGGUGGUAUUGAGUAAUCUAAAUAUCAAAAGGUACGGAAGAUAAAUUUUUGCCAGUUUCGAAGAUACAUCACACAAGUCAAGUAUUAUUUUAUGUCAGAGUUUUAUCUCUGAAUUCUACAGAGAGCUCGGAUGAGUUCACAAAUUAGUAAAAACACUGUAAAAUGUUUUGAAUAACAAACAAAACCAUAGCCAUCUAAAAGGUUUUUACAUAGUAUAUAAUCAAAUUAAAACCUUGAGUGUAAACAAUAUUUGACAUAUUGAAGAUGAUAAAAGUAUCAUGGAGGUUCUUUUAUUAAGAGUUAGAUUGCAUUUUAUCUCAUUUACUCAAAAAAUGAGCAAAUUAACCCCUGUAUAUUAUAUUAAAGAACAAACUGGUCGUUUCUAUUAAAAGUUCCAUCCAUUUCUUCUUUUAAAAACUAGUGUGACUGACAGAAUAACCAAAUAGUUACACAUGAUAUACCAUGUAUACCUCAUUCUAACAUAUAAAGACCCGUUUUAAUUGAAAAUACACCCUUCAACAAAUAUGAACUUAUUCUAAUUUGACUUUUAACAAUAAAAUAUUUUUAGAUUAAAUUUAAAUUAAGACUUCAUUAGAAUCCCUAAUUAAAAAAAUGGUAUUAAUAUUUUUAUAAGGCACGACUUGGUUGACAUUUAUUAUGGAGUCAAAAAAAGCAAGUUCAAGGUAAUAGACCCCUUGUUUACUGGAAAUUAAUUGGGGGAGGUGCAGGCGCGUGAAAAAAAUUAGAGUGGGGAAAGUAAGAAGAAGAAGAAGAGAUGGGAAGACCGUAAGGGAAGACGUCAGGGGUUGACUAAUGAGAAACACGCCAGGUUUGGUCCAACCUUGGACUGUCAAUGCUACGCGUUCCUCACUGACUUGUCGUCCACGCUAUCCGGAACACUUCCUAGUAUUUUGCCACUACUUAAAUUUGAAUUUCCACCGACAACUAUAACUAGAGGUGUGAUGGCCAGGUUGGUCCGAGUUCCGAGAUCCGAGAUCCGAGAUCCGAGAUCCGAGAUCCGAUUUUAAAAAAAAUUGAAGUCUAAGUUUAUUUUCGGUCCCCAUAUUUAUAAAUAAUUAAUUUAAGCUUGUUUUAUGCUCAUACAUAUUAUUUUUAAUUUAAUAUUUAAUGUUUUAGAUGAUUUUUUUUGUUAAAAUUUUAAAUUUAGACAAUUUAACAUAUUUUAUAAUGUUCACGUAGUAUUAUAUUAUUAUAUAUAAUUUACUGUGAUAUAAAUGACAUAAUAUAUAAAAUAAAAUAAAAGUAUAUUACAAAAGUAUAAAACGAUUUAGUCAGGCUCGAGUCUUGACUGUUGAAGCUCAAGCUUGAAUCAUAUUUUAAACAAGCUUAACUUUUUUACCCAAGUCCAUUUUUCAAGCCUUGUACUUUUACUUAAGCCUUCCCAUAUUUCAGGUGGGCUUUUGGGCUUGAGCAAAUAACCCGACCCAUGAAUAGAUUUAAGUAAGACUCAUCAACCACAGGCUUUGAAGUCGGAUUAUUCGUCCAAGUCCAAAGAUUGACUUAAUACUUGAAAUGAUUUAGAUAAAAAUACUAGAAUUGAAAUUGUAUUUGGACAAAGAAAUAUUAUUCUUGUUUAAAAUAUGAGUUAGCUUCAGGCUCCAAUAUUUAAAGCCUAAAUAUAUUAGAAAUUUAUAAUGUAAUAUAUUAGAAAUUUGACAAAAAAAAAAGAUAAAAUUACUAAACACUAAUAAAAAUAAUAGGAAGGGUCUAAACACUUUACUGAGUUUAUACAUAUAAGUGACUUUAGCAAAAUUUGAGAAACACAUUAUUGAGCUUGAAAAACUGAACUAAAUAUAAUCGAUUCAAUCCAUGAGUACCUCUACUGAAUCAUAAUCUAAAGCUUGUUAAUCAAAACAAUGUCGUUUUUAGGUCCAACUUCAUUAAAGUUUUUAUUUAUUUAUUUAUUGAUACAAUAUUAGGGGUAAGAGAUAGGGAUAAAACAGUUUGAAUCCGUACAAAAUAAGUGUCUAACAAUAAUUUUAACCACCAUUCUAUAUAAAUUAAGAAAAUUUUUAUUUAUUUAAAUAUUUAAAAGAAUAUUUACUUCAUGAAUAAUUUGAAAAACUCCUUCAUACAUUUAGGUAAGUGAUCUUUUGGUUUAAAUUGAGAACUUUUUAAGUAAUUUAAAAGCCUUCACAUACAUCAUCACUAAUUAAAUCUAGAGAUGACAAUGAAGCGAGAUGGCUGGAUGUUGUUAAAUUCAUCAUCUCUUCAUAGUUGGUAUGUUCUAUUCCAUCACUUGCCUCGCUUAAUUACGAAUGUAUAAUUUUGAAAACCACUAUCACACUCUAUUACUGUUGGAUGCAUCCGUCCUCACCUCACACCACUUUUCUUCAAUUUAUUUUUUGCUACUUUUUAUCUUUAAUAUUUUUUAAAGUCAAGUAAAAUUUAAACAUAAUUAUCUUUAAAAAAUUAAAUAUAAAAUAUACAAAAUUUUUCUAUAAUACAUUAUGUUAGCAAAAAAGGGCAUUGCUGAGAGCAGAAACAACACAACGAAAUUAGUGCCUAAGUUGGUGGGCACUUCUCCAAGCACUAAAUGAGAAACAAAAAACACACUGAACAUAAAAAGAUGAUUAUGCAAUUCGGUUUUCCUACAUCUACGGAGCCUAGCUCAGUAAGAAAUAUGUACUCUCUUCAACAAUUAUAAAGUGAACUUACUCAAUCGCACAAACCAUGAUUGUUUCCCUUACCUUUGCACUUUAAAGAUAAAGUACUCUCACCACGGUGUACAUCGAAGUAAUACAAUAUAAUAAUAACAUAUAAGAUAAAUAUGGACUCUUGGCAACUCAACAUCAAAAUCACAAUCCAUAACCCUCCCCAACCUAUAGAUAGGAGGAUGAUACGCUUUAACGCACUCGAACUCACGUCCUCUUGUAUUGGCAAUAAUAUCCAUACCAAUCGAACUAAUACACAAUCGACUGAUUUUAUUAUCUUUGAUUAAAUCAAGAAUUUGUUGAUUAAUUUAAAGUUAACUACAAAUAGAAAAUGCAAACACAGGACAAACAAAAUGAAGAAAAAAAAUAGGACAUUGGAUAAGCUUACCACCAACCUUAUUAAAUAUCCAGUCACUGUCACGGCUAAAACUGUGUAAUAAGAUAGAUGGGCAAGAAAUUGGAAAUAAGCCUUUGACAUUAACGCGGCCUUUUUUUUUUCUUCAUUCAAACUACUCUGUUGUCAAAAGAUAAAACAGAGGAGCAACCAAAAUUGAAAAAUACAGCAAGCAAGUUCAGGACACAAUCCCACUAACUAACAAAAGCCCCGAGAGAUCACCACCAAGCUUCAAACAAUUCUGCCCGAUUAACACCUGCCAUCGCUAAGGAGAAAGUCAUAUCAUUACUAUUCUUAUCCGCCAAAGAGAAAACGACAAAUCCAGCCUUAAGCAUAGCAAUUUCAAUUUUUGAAAAAAUUGCAUGAAGCGACCAAGGUCUCAAAACCUUAUUAACACACCACGAAAACACCACCAAUGAUCCUAGCGUAGUUUUAAUUUUAUAAAUAAAAAAUCUAAGGAAAUAAUUCUAGAAAAAAAAAUCAAAAUCCAGUGUAAUAAUGAUAAGAAAUUAUUACCAGUUAAAAAAAUCUUUGGAGUCGUUGGCUACAUCAUAGUCAACCAUCUAAAAAAGCACUUAGCCACAACAUACAAGAAUUAAUGAGAAGCUUGAGUAAAAUCCAAAACAAUCAAUCUUAUCAAUACCUUUUCUUUAUUUUUUUGGUCGAAAUCAAGGUGUCCACUGCCGAUAGUAAUGACUAAUCCCCUUGCCAUAGGUGCUCUCCAAAGAGGUAUCUGGUUAGUUAUGAAAUGUGCUCUAUUCUCAUGGGUAGGGAUUGAAUCCCAACCUCAUGGUUAAGAGAUGAGGUAAGCAACCACCACAUCAUAACUUAUAGUUUAUUAAUAUACAUUUUCAAGACGUUUAAUGUAAACUAAAAAUUCUUUUCCCAUCUUUUUUUUCUGUAUUGAUUUUGAAUUAUUAUUUUUCAUUAAAACACUAUCAAAUUCAGUACUUGUCUCAUUGCUUGAUCUUUACAUGAAAUUUUAGAAACAUCAUAUUGUAUUUUUGAGAAACUGUGAACCUUGUUUUGUUAAUCUGGGUUCACAUCAAAUUUUAUUCCUGUACUUCUACUCAUGGUUUAUUUGUGGUUCUUUUUUCAGCUUCUUGUGCUUAAAAAUGGGUUCUACAAAAUUUCUUUUUAGGUGUUUGAGAAUGGGGUAUUAAUGAUUUGUCAGUAUUGCUACUAGUUAUGUAUAAAGUUGUUUAAAUUUGUGUGUUUAGCCGAAGGGUAGGGAAAUCAAUGGCAUUUUAUCAUAAUAAUAAUAAAAAAAACUAAAAGUUUAAUUAACAAAAUAGGAUGCAUACAAUAUUUUAAUGAUCAUUUUUAUACUUUACUCUUAUUUUAUCUUAAUCCUUAACCUAAAGCCGUGAUCCUAAACCCUAAAUUAGAACAUUCGAUAAAUGCUGAGAAAAACUAUCUUCUCCACCAUAUUCAAGUUCAAUCCUUUGUCGAGUCAAGGGUUUUGAUUGAACUAUAACUUCAACCAAAGUCGACAAUAACUCUCCUAACUCAAAUGUCUUUCAUGAGAAUAGACUUUCUCAAGCGUUGUAGCAUCAACCAAGUACGGAGACAUCCUUUAGACAAACCUUAAGUAGGAAGGUUUAUGAUGAACCAUAUUUACGGACAGUCUAGAAUAUUUCUUUAUAGUUGAACAAUGCUUCAACACAUUUAAAAGAUCAUGGUCACGAAAGCCAUCUAAAUAAGGAGAUUCAAAAUUAUCUUUGGUUGAAAUUCGAGUUGGGUUGAAAUCCUCGACCCAACAAGUGAUUGUAGCCGAAAUAGGUUAGAGGGAAAAAUUGAUGAGCAUUUAUCAAAUAUUUUAAUUUAAGUUUUAUGGAAAUAAGUUAGGAUUUAGGGUACAAAAUGUAUCGGUUUAGGGUUAAAUUUAACAUUCAAAUUGAAGUUAUUGCACUUGAUGACCAAUUGGGGACAUACAUUAUUCACAUACAAUCAAAUGGGUAGUUCUCAAAUCUAAAAGAGAUUCAAGACCUUGCUAAGAAUAUGGUUGAUACAAAAAAGAACAUUGUUUAUCUUUUGGUAUAUGGCCUAAUUAAGUUUCUAUUGAUUUUUCGAGUUGUCACAAGUGUGUAAAAGGUAUUUUCUGCAAUGAAAAUUGUGAAAGAUCGUUUGAGGAAUUGGAACGAAGAUUAAUAAAUGAAUGAUUGUUUUGUUACAUGCGUCGAAAAAUAUUUUUUUAACAGCAUUAACAAGACAAAGAUAACCCAAUAGUUUCAACGCAUGAAAAAGCGUGAUAGACAAAGAGUACGACUUAUUGAAAUUUAUUUGAUGUGCUUUUUCUUUUAGUUACCAUUUUAACUGUCCUAUAUUUAAUCAUAUUAUACACUAGUUUAUCAAGUGUUCUAAAUGCAAAGGAAUUUUUUUUUAUAUAAUUCCUACUACUCAUAAUCUUCAAACUCUUAAACUAGAAGAUAAUAUAUGCUUGAGCGCUCUUGAACCCAUGUAGAUCAACGGUAUGAAGUAAGGGUGUGCAUUUUUCAAUUUUAACCAAAUUAGCUAAGCGAACCAAAUUAGUUCAGUUAAUCGAUCAUCCAUUGAAUCUAAUUCGGACAAGAUCGAUUGUCGGUUAAUUCAAUUCAAAAUCAAAGAAUUAGUCAAAAUUAUAAAUAAUAUACUAUAGGCCCAAUAUAAUAGAUAAGUCCAAUACAUCAUAUGAGCCUAAAAUAUAUAUAAUGGGCUUAAAAAACUAUUAUGAAAACAAAAAUCAUUUGAAAAAUAAAAUAAAGCUAGAAGUAAACAAAAAGUAAUAUAUAUAUAUAUAAUGUUAGUUAAUUUCGAAAAUUUCAUUAUAUUUUAAUGAUAACACAAUUUUUUUAAUAGAGAAAAAUUGAUUUAGAUGAUGGAUAAUGGCGUUGGUCAUUUGUUGUUAUUUAUUUGAAUUGGUGGGUCAACGAGGAAGUCUAUUCUUCACCUACCAAAACGGUGAGAAAUACAACGACUUAAAUUAAAUUUCCUUAAAUUAUUUUCCAAAAGAAGUAAAGUAUCAAAAUAGUCAUUUUUGUUUAUUUCAAGUUACAUUUUAAUCACUUAUGUUUGAAAUGUUACGUUUUAGUGAUUAACGUUAUCGUUUUGUUGUAAAAUGAUCACUUUGCCGUUAAGAUCAGUUACCUCCAAAAUGGCAGUGCGACACCCUAAUACUUGAACUAGAAAAAAAAAAGAACUCUUGGUCUCCUUUUUCUUUUAGCUUUCAUUUUCAUUUUAACAGAGAAAACCAUCCAUUUUCAUAGUCAACAAAUUGUUGAAUCGAAACAGUAGAAAUCAAAUUGAAUGUUCUAUCAACCAAUUGGAUUUUUAUUCAAAAUGGAAGAACAAAAAAUUGAUUUAAUGGAGGGUCCAGGUAUGGAUUACAUUAAGUAAUUGGGUUAAGAUAUUAUGGGUUUUCUUUUUGCAAAAAGGUGUUCCAUCUUUUCAUGUUUUUCUGUAUGCGCCGUGACAGACAAAAAUGACAUACUUCAUCUUUGUUUAUUUGUGUAUUGUGGGCAACCACAAUAAAAAACAUGUAUAAAGGCUGGUGUGUCCAUUUUUUCUUCUUCUCUUUCGUUCUUCUAUUCUUUAAUGGUAACAAAAAAAAAAACAAUUGUUGCUUCUUUUUAAACCGGAAAAAAUUGAGUUUUAGGGUAAAAUUUUGUAUUCUAUUUUUAUAAUUUUUUUUAAUUUUUCUCAUCUCAGUUGGACAUCCAUAUUGGCAUUUAAAAUCCAUUUUAGCUGUCAUGUCAAUCUAUCGUUUGGAAAAUAAUAGAUCUUAGCGACAGAGUGAUCAUUUCAUAACAAAACGAUAACGUAAGUGACUAAAAUAUAACCCGAAAUAAACAAAAGUAAGUAUUUUAAUAAUUUACUCGAAAAGAAAAUCAAAUUUCGUUAAAUUAUUAAUAAUUAUAAUGAGUCAAGCCUCACUAUUAAUGCCUCUAAUUCGCUGCAUUAAAGCUCACAAGACUUCCUACUUACUGGUUAAUUUUAAAGCUUUCCUCUUUGCAUGUCUUCGACGUACCCCAUUUAUAUACUUUCAUAAAUAAAAAAGUACCAUCGUACCCAUUAUUUAUAUAUCUAUAUAUAAAAGGAAGGUGGUGCUCGUCGUCUUCGUCUUCGUCUUCGUACACGUGUUGGAUUCUAAUUUUUUUAUUAUUAUAAAAUAAUAGUAAAACUUCAGUUUGAUUACUUUUUUAUGUUUAUAUUUUAAUUUGACAUAAUUAAUAUAUGAAUAUUUGUAGUACAAGUGCAAAUGUUGAAUCAAUUGUAAUAAAGCUAUAAGAGGAUAUCAUCCGCACAUGGACCGAAUUUUAAGAUGCUAAAUAUUAAUUAUUCAAUUUUAUCUAAUCUAGAUCAAGAAAUUUGAAUCUAAUUACUACCAAAAUUAACUAACAUAGUAUAAAGAUUUUGUUAAACUAAAACAAUGAAAAUCUCUAAAUUUCUCGAUCAGUUUUAAAAUCUUGGAACUCUUACUUCAUCUAUUUUGGUUAAUUAAUUAUCUCUCGUUCAAUUGUUCAACCUAUGUGAUUACUAACGUAGGAUCCAAUGGUAUUAACUAGACCCUUCUGGUAUCUAAAUUAAUCCCUCGUCCUCUCUGACUAUAUUCCUAUACUAGGCAAGUUGGGGAAGUCACUACAAACAAACCUAUCAAGUUAAUUAGGGCAUCGGGUUUAUUUCUAUCUUAGCUGCAAAUUAACUUGUUCGUCGACGCUACUAAAAUUAAUCUUAAUCUAUUCAAUCUAGAUCCAAACCUUAAUUUUCCCUUCUAAGAUAAAUCAAGAUUAUUAAAUUAACACAACUUGGUGAUCAAGUAAGCAUAUUAAACAAGCACAAGAAUUAAAUAAUUAACAAAAAUCGAAACAAUUGAAGAGAAAAUAAUUAAUCAACUAAAAAACGAUCCAUCAUUGUUCCAAAAAUAAAAUAAAAUUUAGUUCAUAAUGAUUUGUAAAAGCAACACAAAAAGUUCUUCCAAGAAGGUUUUUUGUCACAAAUUCAUGAAGUGUCUUCGCUUCAAAUUUUUGCGUUGUUAUGGAGUUCUAAGGCGUAAGAGUGUCGAGGUUCAAACUUAAGGAGCCAAUUUGGAUGACAUUGGUUAAAUGUUGUCAAGAACUCUUCCCGAUAUAUCUUCUAUGAAUUUCACAGAUCCUCUUAAAAUCGUGUCUGGACAAGGGCUAUGCAUCACCCGUUUCUUGUGGUGGUCAAUUGUUCUAGCAAGGGCUCAACUUAUAUUUUAUUAAUUAAUUAUAAAUAUUAUAUUUAUGAUAACUUUUUAAGAUUAUUUACAAAUAUUAUAUUUAACACCUAUGUCAAAUAAAUUACUAUUGCAUGUGUUUGAGCUUUAAACCAGGUAACCGAAAGGUGCAAAGCAUUUGGAUUAGAAAUCCUGUGGGAGGCAAAAGCCAUCUUUUAAGCUUAAGGGGAUGAAAUUAAAAAGAUUAAGAAAAGCAAAAAGUGAUUGAAGAAAAAAAAAAGAUGGUGAUCAAUUGGGAAGAGACAAAUAAACAUAUGGUAAUGGUGAGUAGGUGAUCCUAUGGCCCAUGCCUUUUGAUAACUUUCUUGGUUAUCAUAUUAUAAUAUGCAUGUAUAUAUGUAUGUGUGUGUUUCCUUUGAUCUUAUCCUUCAAUUACCACCAACUUUUUCAAAGAUUGCAAUGAAUUACUACUAUAAAUCUUAUAAUGGCCAUGAAAAGGUUACUUCUAAUCUUUCUUUAAUUAAUGGAAUGGUAAAAAUUUUGAAUUUAUUAAUAAGUAUAUCGGAAGAUGAUAUUGUUAGGAGGAGUGUAAUCGUGAAUUUCGAAAGAAUUAAUUUUCAUAAACUGUAAAAUAAACAUGAAAGAUAUUUUGGUCAUAUAAAAAAUUAUUUUCAAAUCUUCAGUUGACAUCAGUUUUAGUUUCAAUAUCGGGAUAAUUCUUACUUCUUAUCCCCAAGGGUGGCAGGAAGGGGUAGACAAGUGCCUUGGCCCCCUUAAAAUUGGAAAAUUGCAUUUUUUACCUUUUAAAUGUAUAAAAUUAUAAGUUAGUAAUGAUAAAAAUUACACUUUCACUUCCAAAAAAUGUUAAGAUUUUGAUUUAAUUAUUUAAAAAAUUAUAAAGGUAUUAGCUAAUACAAUAAUGAAAUUGCUUUUACCUCUUAUUAAAAUUUAUAACUUAAUUCCGGCCCUCCAAAAUUAUUUUCUAACUUUGCUCGUGCUUAUUCUUUUUAAAAAAACUUAUAAUAGAUUUUUUUUUGCAAUUUUUUAAAUUCACAAACCUUCAGAUUUUUUUGUAUAAUUAAUAUUUUAAUAAUCCAACCGUUGAAUUUAUCAAUAUAAUCGUACUUAUCAUCCAUUAAAAUUUUCAAAUCGAUUCGAUAUUUUUAUUAUGUCAAUCUAAAAUACUGUAUAUAUUAAUAUUUAUUGAACGGUUAAAUUUUUUUACAUAAAGUAAACAAUUAAAAAAAUUGUUUACGCCAAAUUUAAUAUGCAUGAUCUAUAUGAAUGAAAUAUAAAAUAUAACAGUUGAAUCAUUAAAAUAUUAAUCAUACAAAAAUAUAUAAAAUGAUAUUUUUUGUUAUUAAAUAUUAAAUAACUAAAUGAAUAUAUCCAAUUAACAAAGCAAAAGUUUAGAAGAAUCAAAAAUAAAUAUCAAAGCAGAAAGGACUUAGUGACCCUCAGAGAAUCCACAUGGCACUAAAUUUUAUUAAAAGUAGUCUAAUUAAUGUUUAUAAGAUUUGGUAUUAUUUUAGGGUUGAGAUCUCUCUUUUUUUAAUCCCUUACUUUUUUAAAGUUUUUAAUUUACUAUUUUUUUUAAUAUACUAACCACUACCAUUCAUAUGUUAUAAGAUUCAUCUUUAAAUUAUUUUUUAAUAGAUAAAAAUCAGAAACAAUUACAAUAUUAUUCCAGUACCAUCGUACAUAAACCGAUCAUCUAAUCGUAAAUGCUCCACGAUCGUUUUUGGGGGUUCCUAGAAUAUUAUCGGUUCAUAAGGGAAAGCUUAUUCAUCAUUCUAGCCAAUGUAUGUGCAGCUACAUUAACUUCUCUUGGAAUCUGCUUUAUGACCACCCUCCAUUGCCUCUUUCAAAGCUCCUGGAUUCUCAAGGUUAGGCCUCUGUACAAUUAACCACCUAAUUUUUAUUAAAUAUUAAUGAACAGAAAAUAAUAAACGAGAGCUUCACCUAAUUUUUACUUGUGCAAAUCAAUUCGAAAAAGUUGAUUUUUUUUUGUAAUUUUAAGUUAAUCUAAUUGAGUUAUUCUUUUUUUUAAUAAAUUCAAAUAAGUAAUUCGAUUUUUCGAGUUCAAGUCAAGUUGAAUUUUAUAACUCUAUUAAUUCGAAUAAUUCCAAUAAUAAAUUGAUAUAAAUACUCUUUGAGUCCUUGAUAGUUUCGAAAAUGUGCAAAUUGGCCCCUCUAAAAAAUUACAAAAAUUCAAAAUUUUUAUAAAUUAUUUUCCCAAAAUUUUAUAAAUAUAUAUAUUCGAAAAAUUACUAGAAAAUCUUUAAAAAUAUAUAAAAAAGGCUAAAUUAUAAUUUUUUUUAAAAAUUCCAAACUGAUAGAUUUGAGGCCUUAAACAAGUAAAUUAUCAAAUCAAGUUUAUCAAACUAAUUAUCUUCUUUUUAUUCUCUUAUUUUAUUUUAAAAGACUUUUCAAAUACAUAUAGUAUUUUAUUUUAUUCGACUCGAUUCGAGUCUCAUUUAACUCUACUUGAUUGAGAUAAAAUAAGGUUUGAAAUUUAAUUUUUGUUAUCAUGCUAAAUUUGUUUCUACUUUGGCAUCCAAAAUUAGCUAAAAAUGUUUUUUUCUACUAAAAAUAUGGUAAUUUGAAUGAGGUUGCAUGUGUAUGUUACAAAUGUGAGUGCUCUAAAUCAUAAAUCAUAACUUAGUUUAUGGUCCUAUAGAAAAAACAUAGUUUAUGUUUUCCCCCUUUUUAACUUUUGCUUAAAUUAUUCUUUGUCCUUUGUAAGAUUUUCAACACAAUGACUUUUUUUUCUCCUACAAUUUAGGCACUUACUUAGGAGUUAGCAUUUGCCCAUGUUGCCUUUAUUUUAUAUUUCGCUUGUGAUGUUUACAAUUUUUUUAUGCAAUUACAGUAUCAGAAUGGGAAAGGAUUGUUGAAACAAUGAUGCCACGUUUUAAUGUCACAUCAAUAUUUUUAUCUUGGAAAAAUUUAAAUCCAUAUGAAAAUCUUGAAAUUCAGGAUGAAAUUAUUGAUAUGGUAUUAAACUAUUGGAAAAAGAUAAUAUCCAUGUUUCAUACAUUCCUUUCUCUAUUAAAAUUUGAACUUUGAUUCUUGAGGUGUCAACUAGAGAGCCCCAUUCUCUACUUUGAAAAGUAAUAACAAGUUGUCUACAAUGAAGCAUUUGAACUUUAUGAUUGAAAUUUAAGUUGAAUCAGGAAAAUUCUAUUAACAAGCAAGGUCGACGAUAGGAGGGCUGACAAGGGCCUUGACCCUUUAAAAUGAAAAAUUACACGUUUAGCUUUUUAAAAUUUAUAAAAUUACACGUUAGUUCAUAGUAAAAUUAUACUUUUUCCCCAAAAUGAUAAAUUUUUAAUUUCAUCCUUUAACAAUUAUAAAACUAUAAGCUAAUAGAACUGCUAAAUUACAUUUCAACCCUCAUAAAAAUAUGUAACUUAAGUUCGACCCCCAAAUAUUUUUUUUGGCUUCAUCUGUAUUAACAUAGCCAUAUUGGAAGUCACUACUUCUACAAACUUAAUCUUUUCACCUUUUACACAUAAUCCUCAAAACUUGUCAAUGGAAAUGAAGUGUUUUCAACUAAAUAGCUAAUCAAGUGAUGAAGUUUCUAGUAGUUUGAAUCAUUCACUUGAUUAGCUUUUUAAACCAUUUCAUUUUAGGUAAGUAGAUGAGUUUAAUUUUCUAAAGUUCUAAUUGAAAUCUUUGGGAUUUUCCUUUUUCCUUUGGGACUCAUUUUACAUUUUCUUAUCCUUUUCUUUUCUUUGCAAGUGGGAAGGCUCCACUUCUUGAAUACUUUUGGAAUGGAUGUCAUGAAUGGAGACUUAUGUUUGUAGUAAUUGAUUGCUUGCUUUUAACUUGUCAAAAUUUUGGCUCUUUUUAGAAAAUAUCACAUUGUUCUUUGUCUUUAAUUGACUCUUACAUAUGGUGGUCCUUGACAUUUUACAGCUACAAUGCUAAGUUCUGUAUAUAUUGUCAUCUACAUGAGGGAUUAGAUCUUCAAAAAUUGUAGGUAUCAUGGUUAGGAAAGUAUAUCAAUGAGUCUAGUUCAUGCCUUGAAUGAACAAAUAAUCAAUUGCAAAGGCUUCAAACCUUUCUUUGUGUUAUACUAUACGUUGAUAAUGGUAGUAGGAAUGAUUGCAUAGCAAUAGGAAAGAAAAAUAAUAACACACGGAUUUUACGUGAAAAACCUUUAUCAGGAAAAACCAUGAGCAGAGGAGGAGAAAUACACUAAUGUUGAAAAACAAUCAUAUAAGAGGUUUUUUGCUACAUACGUUUUAAGGGUUAAACAACUCUUUUAUAAUUUACAUCUAAUAGAAGAAGUAUAGUUCUAUACGAAUUUAACUUGUGUGACAAGGUCCCCACAGAUCCCCAAUACUUUUUUACCUAUAAAUACCUAGAUUUUAGGUUGAUCCCAAAAUUUCAAAAUUUCAAAAUUUUCUAAUUGGGUCCUCAAAGUAUUAAUAUCAUAUCAACGAAGUUCUUCCAUUAGCCUAGUCAUUAGUUUAGAUGUUUAAUGCUAGCUCAAAUUUGACAUAGCGUAUAUUUAAAAACAUGUAGGUCAAAAUGGUAAGCAAAUGUCUACAAACACAUGAAUAACUUGAAUUUCACAAGUUUAAAAAGUAAACCUCCUAAUUUUAAUGGCAUUGUCUUUGCUUUUAACACGUCUUGUUAAAGCUAUCCAUCUGAUAAGUGAUAACACACGUGUUUAUAACUUGGUACACAUGUUUCAUAAAUAUUUCAAGUUGGAUUUGAACUGGCAUUUAACACCCUAAACUGUCGUCUAGGCUAAUAAAAAAACUUGAUUGAUAUAAUAUUACUACUUUGAAGACUCAAGUACUAAAUUUUGAAAUUUAAAGACCAAUUUAAAGUCUAAAUAGGGACAUAUGAAAUUUUAUUAUUAAUUUGUUCAAGUAAAUGUGAUAAUAUUGAAAGUAUUAUUCCAUAAGAAGUUUAUGCAAUUGUGCUUUUAGUUUAAUUUUUAAUGAAAAAACUUCCUUAAUUAUGUGUUACAAAAUAAGUGUUUUUGAAUAAAUGUUACUGUUAUCCACAACAAAGGGACCAAACAUAUAAUAAGGUUGCCAAAUCUAUACUACAUAUAUAGCUUUGAUGAUUAAGGCAAUAUUUCCUGUCUUAAGUAGUAUAAUGUUUACAUCUUUGACCAUCAAUCUUUCAAAAAAAGUCGUUAAUUUUGUAAUGAAAAUAUUUAUUAAAAUAUUAAAUUUUCAAAUAUAGUAGCCUGAAUAGUAAUUUACGUGUAUUUUAUGCUAAUUAUUUUUAUUUUUUAUUUGUAUAAAUUUUAAAUUAUUUGUUGACCUGACAUAGAAGAUAAAUAGUGUCUACAUAUCAGCAUGAAAUACAUGUGAACUCCCACGCGAGUUGCCAUGCCAACUUUAGCUUUUAAAAAAAUAAAGAUUAAGGGUGAAUUUGGAUAGGUUGUGCGUUUUCCUGCUAUUAGUUUAAAAAUAACGAUGACAGUGAAAUUAGAUACUGUAAUGAUAUAAAAUUAAGCUAAACACACUGUACAAUUCAAACCCACCCUACAUUAAAAAAAUUAUAAAUGUUAAGAGAUAAAUUUACAAGGAAUAGGUUGUGCAACCAUUUUGAAAGCCUGUAUAAACAAAUAGGACUGAAAGGCAACCAAAAUGAGACAUUAGAGAUAGAGAUUAUGAUUAGCUUUGUCACGCCUGCAGCCAGUUUUAUCCUAUCUUGCCAUGAAUAUCAGCUUUUACGCACCAUAUAUAUAUAUAUAUAUAUAUAUAUAUAAUGAUGUUAUCUAUAUAGCUUUUUGUUUUUAGUAAUAGUUAUAUAUCAAAUUUGAUAUCUCUCUGAAGUUAAAUUUUGAAUAAUUCAUAAUUAAAAUGGUACUAAAACUGUUAUUUUACCCUUUAAUUAAAGGAGUACCAAGAUUACUGUUUACCCUUUUAACUAUGCCUCUAGUCAUUGAUGGGAAGUAUGGUGCUACUUGAGUUAGCUAUAGUUCAUGGGAUCGGUUCAAACUCUUCAAUUUAUCAUAGAUUUUUUUUAUUCAAACAUUAUGAAAUGCUCUCACUCUAUUAAUUCGUUAAAAUUCUUAAUAAAUUUAGAAGAUAAAAACUCGAUCGAGAACAAUACCAAAUUAUUGAAAGUAGAUUUACAAAAUGAAAUAUGUCGAGUCAUUUUUCUCGUGUGUUCUUGAGGUGCACUUAUCAUGUCAUGGAUGUGCUGUAGUCAAAAGACAACAAGCACUCAUGAGUCAUGAUAGUAGGCAUAUGUAAUAUUUUCCUUCACAUAAAUUAAAUACAUAUAAUUUCACAUUUACCAAAAAUUUAAAAAAUAUAAUAGGGUAAAUUAUACUUAAUGUUACUAAACUGUUAGUAAACUUACAUUUUAGUCAUUCAAUUUCAAAAAUUAUAAAAUAGUUAUUAAACCAUUCAAAAGUUUUUAUUCAAUUCAUUGAGUUGUUAAGUUUUAUUAAAAAAAAAAUCCAUCGACUACUAGAAGAAUAUACCGUAUACCCAAAUCAAUCUGGCUUUGGUUCACACAUUCGUUAUGUUCAAUGUUGUUUCAUGAAAAGAAACUGGACUAUAGAAGAGAAAAUGAGGGAGAGCUUUCAAUUGAUGUAGGUGGUGCAAAACAAAAAAGGUUGACUUAAAUGAAAACCUUCAAAUAGUUUGGUGACCAAUUUAAAACUUACUAAUAAUUUAAUAACCAUGAGUGUAAUUUAUCCAAAAACAAAAAAGCAAAAAGUGAUACAAAUUUCAAAUUGAUCUUUUAUCAUUCCAUACUCCGACCCUACUUCUUUUCAUGAAUUCAAAACAAAUACUAUUUUAUAAUCUUCAUUAACCAUAAUCAUGAACCUCUCCACCAAGCAAUGGUGUGUGCUCCUUAUAAAGUAACUGAGUUGGGUAUAUAUAUAUAUCUCAACUUUCUUCAAAAGCUUGUGAAAAUUAUGGCGAUGAAAGAGCACAAAAAACCCAGUUUUUUGCUGGGUUUUGCAUUGUUAUUGCUUCUAUUGAUGAUGAUGAGAAGCUCACAAUCCAUGGCAGAUGCUGAGAUGAUGAAAGUGAAACCCACAAAAGCAAGAACAAGAAAGGUAUUGGAGAUGGAGCAAGAUUACCCAGGUGAAGUGCCAAGCAUCCCAAGUGAUUAUGAUUACAAUGAUUUCUACAGAAGGCAAGGUGAUGUUCCAAGCCCAGGAAUUGGUCAUUGAUAUAUAUAUAUACACAUAUGUAUGUAUAUGUAAAGGGUACUGCCAUGCAUGAUUUUCUUCUAAUUCAUAUAUAUGGUUUAUUUAUAGAAUUUUGUUUUAAUCAUGUCAUAUCAGUGAAACAUUAGAAAAAUUUGAAGUGAUAUAUAUAUAUUAAUGUGUAUGUAUAGGGAUUAUUGUAAUUGAAUAUGCCUUUAUGAUGGAUACAUUUAUGUGAUUUGUGAGGGUGAAUGGAAUAAAUUUGUGGUGAAUAAUGGGUUUAUCUGAUUUGUAUUUUAUACAUAUAUUGUUAAACUAUAUCAACGGAAAUCGAGAAUGAGUGAUGUAUACUCUCUUCUGGGAGGAUGAUUAAGACCCUAUUUUCGAUCUUUUUUGUUCUAGUUCUUCACCCUUUCCCUCUUAUUUCAUUUCCGUUGAUAUCGUGUAUCAACAAUAUCAAUGAUUUUUUAUAUAUAGUUUGAUUAAGUUAAUCAACUCAAAUCAAGCCUAUUAAGUCCUUUUCCCGUUAUUUCAAUGGGUUGCUAAAAAAAAUUAACCUAAAAUUAUGUGUAUAACUUUUUUUUUAAUUUGUUAAUAUAAGUAAAAAUAUAAAAGCCCUUAAUUGAAAAAUAAGAGGAAUUUUUUGGGAAUAUGAAAAAAGUUUAAAAUUUACUAUUAGUCCCUAUAUUUUACAAAAGUUGUGAAUUUAGUCAUUAUAUUUUUCGAAUCUUGAAAUUUUAGUCCUAACCCAAACAAUUUUAGUUAAAUUCAAUUAUUAGUAUUGUACUAUGUGUAUAGUUGUAGAUUUGGUUCAUAUUCUCUAAUUGGAUCAUUCUAAGUCCUUAUACUUUUUGUAUUAUGAAAUUUCAGUCUUGAACACAAAUCACAGUCGUUAAUCCAUUAACUGAAUUUUUAAUAAGUAAUAUAUAGAAAUAAUAAAUUAACAUAGCAUUACACAUGAUAAUAAAUGUUUGGAGUGUCAUAUUUUAGAAAUAACAUGAUUUAAUGAAUUUAAUAGUUAUCAUUCGAUAGGGACUGAAAUUUCAAAAACUGGAAAGUACAUAGAUUGAAAAUGAUCAAAUUAAAAUAUAUGAAUUAAUUUUACAACUUUCGCAAAGUAUAGGGACUAAUAUAUGAAUAAAGGGCAACUUUACCUUUUGUCUUUUGAGCGGCAAAAAGACAGUUCCUAAGGACUACAAUGCGAAAGAAAAUGAAAAGUUGGGUAGGAUUUUGAUUUGACUUUAGUGGGAAUAUAGUCAAUAUUAAUGUAAUAUAGAUUAACGGUUUUGAUGGUGAGUUCAAAUCAAUGUUACAUCUCUGCACUUGGUUAGUUGUUGAGUUGUCCCUGGUUGAUGUCAAAUAUUAAUUAUUUCAUAAAGUAAAAUAAUUAUGGAGGAAAUUUAUAUUACAUGUUACAUUGUAUUUAUUUUCUCUACUUGUAAAACGAGUAAAUUAGUAUAUGUACAUUAGAUUAAAAAGUAAAUUAGUUUUUUGUUAAACAAAAUUAUCUAUUUCUACUAUUAAAAACCGGUCUUUGUAUGUCGAUAUGAGGUAAACAUGGUACGUCAUGUCUAACUGUUUAGUUAUUCCGUCAGCCAUACCAGUUUUUAACGGUAGAAAUGAAUGAAAAUUUUAACUGAAAGGAUUAGCGUGCUCUCUAAUUUAACGUAUAGGGACUAUUUGCUUAUUUUUUGAGUAAAUGAGUUAAAUGCAAUCUGAUUCCUACUAAAAGAGCUUCUAUGAUACUUUUACUUGAAUUUACGUUGUUAGAAAAGAUAGAUUAUAAAAAAAUAUAUAAUAUAUUUUUAUAAUUUAUAUAAUGAAUAAUUUAACAUUUAAUCUUUAAAUUUGACAUUUAUAAUAAUUUUAGUAUUUUUGUUUUUUUUUAUUUUAGCUAUUUUAUAUAAUUUUCUAGCAUUUCCGUCAUAUUUUAAUAUUUUAAAAACAUGUAUAAUUUCUUGAGAAUUUCUAUAUAAUCCCUAAAAGACAAUUAAGUUCUUCUAAAAUAAUUAAAAAUUAAUUAAGCCAUUUACAUCAACCGUCGUGUCAUCAUCUACCUACACUCGCCAUGUCAACAUUAAUAGUUUGUCGGGAGUUUUAACUGAAAUGAGAAUUUCAAGAGUUCAAUUAAUAAUUAUUUUCGAAUUAAGAGUUCAGUUGAUCGCACUUUUCAACCAAAACUCAGUUGAUUUUAGAAUUUAUUUUCGAGCAGAUAAUAUUCUAAAGACAUAAUAAAAGCUUUAAAGAAAAUGUCUUCAUACUGGGCGUAAAUUCAAUUGUCAGCCUAUUUUAUUUUUAAAUAAUUAAAUCAAAAAUCUUGUAAUAAAUAUGAUACAAUAAGUUUAAAAAUUAAUUACAUUGAUUGUUAAAUCGAAAUUUAAUUUUUAUAUUUUAUUAAAAAAAUAAUGAUUUUUUAAUCCAACCGAUUCGAGGAUGGCUUGAUGAUUUGGUUGUAAAAAGAUUGUUGAAAAUUAAACACAGUGGAAUAUCCACUAGCUCAUCUUCCUUCUUCAUUACGUGGGCCAAGCUCCACCAAUAUUUGGACUGUUAUAAACAUGGUUUCCCUCAGGCCCUCACUUGCCGAAAUGGCGGGAAGAACUGGCGGGAAAACCCACCGACCUUCUCCCUUUUAACACUGAGAAUCCCUCAAGCAAAUCGGCCAAUCAGAGAGAGUGAGAGAUAGAGAGAUGGGAGGUCCACCGUACGAUUGCUUGGCGAAUCCCCUAGGAGCCGUCCGAUUAACAUUCGAGAAGGCAAUAUGGUCAGAAUCGGAGACUCCUCCGAUCCAUCCCUCCGCCUUUAACGGCAAAGAUUGGGGUGCCCUUGAACUCUUCCGCCACUUCCUCUUCCAAGGAUCAGGGCUUUCCCAGGUUCCCAUCCUUAAUCCCAAAACAUUAAGAUGGGUUCAACCCAACAGUCUUGUACGUUACCGUGGUAUGAUCCAAGACAUGUUGGGAAAUGAAUUCUAUGCCGGCGCUUAUAAGGAUGGGAAUUUAUGGCGGACCAACAAAUUCAUGGAUGUUUCUCAAUACCCAAUGGGUUCCUCUCCUGAUAUGUGUAUUUGGGAACGCCGCUUGCUCUACUGUGUUCCUGUUAGUUCUCUUCUACUUAUAACUUUUUUAGGGUUUAGGGUUUUAGGGAUUAGUGUUUAAAUGUUGAUCAAUUGGUGGAAAAAUCAUGGUUUAAAGUUGUUUUAUACUCCAUUGUUGCAUUGUUCAUUAGUUGUGAUUUUAUUCCUUUCUUCAGGUUCCAGGACAGAGUUCAUGGACUGAACCUUCUAGUGAAAUGGAACCUAAUUGGUCAUCUCAAACCAGGGAGAAGCGGCGUAGGAUGGAUGACGAAGAUGAUGAUCCCAUGGAUUUGGUUGGUCUUGCUACCUCAACCAUUUAUAUACAUAUAUAUAUAUAUUCUUUUCAUUGUUUCUCAUUGUUUUAACUUGUGUUACAUGGACUUGGUUGUGAGUGUCGUGUUCAGGUAUGUAUAUGGUCAUUGACGAAGCAGGAAGUUAUUUUUGGAGGUUCAAAAUUAAAUUAUAAAAUUUUAAAGGGGUCAAAGUACAAUUUUAUCUUUGUAUAUGCUUGUUAUUUUAGAAUUUAAGGGAUUAAACUAUAAAUUUUUCAUCUUUGGAGAAGGGGUAAAGUGUAUUUUUACCAGUAAAGUAACUUAUAAUUUUAAUGGUUCAAGUGACUAAAAUAAUAAUUUUCCAUUUGGGAGGAGGGUUCCUCCCCCCCCCCCCCCCCCCCGACGCUGUCCCUAUAUCAAGCACAUGAAUGGUUAGAUUUUUCUAAGGUUUUCCAUGUUCAGAAAUCCUCGGAGUACAUAUCUCGAUGUCAAUGAUUCGGACAAUAGAGUCUAAGCAACAUAGCUUGACACAAUCAUAAGAAUAGGCUAGUUUCUAUACUUUGUGUUCUGAAAAUGAGGUGAUGAUCUUGCCUAUAAUAUGUGUUUGUUUUUGCCCUAAACUAGUUAGGGUUUUGGUUAUAUACUUGGUUAGGUGAAAAUGUUUCUAGUGAAGGGUAUGGUAUGUUUAAGUAAAGUUGUUUGGUUAGAACAUUUAGAACUCCUCAAGAACAAUGCCUAGUUAUUUGGUUCCUUUAGUACUGGGUUUUAAUGUAUUUGUAGUUUGCCUACCUAAACUUGGAUGCUGUAUAUUUCAGGUUCCUGAUGAUGAGAUUAAAAGCUCUCCAAUUACCAAGAAGAUGGUAAGAAACCCAAAUAUUUAGUUCCAUUGUUAUUGAUAUCCAAUAAAUACUUUAGCUUUUAUGAUUGAAGACUGUGGGAUGAUGUUUGAUUUUUGGUUGAUCAUAUGAGCUUAAAGAUCACUGCAUUCAACAGUAUACUGCGUUGUCAUUAUUGUUGUAGUUGGAGCAGUAUGUCUUCUUGGCCCGUUGCUAAUUGCCAUGGAAAUUCACAUGAUUUUACUGAAGCCAUUUCUUGAGAGGUUUAGGAGCAUUCGAGAACGUUAUCAAACCUUAGUGAAUAUUCCCUUAUCUUAUUUGUUUUUCACAUUGUUACACAAUUUGCUUUUAGGGAUUUUUGCAAUGUUGAAACAUACAAAUUUCUUUUAUCGGAAUUGAGUGACUGAAAGAAAAUGGAAUAGAAUAUUAGGUUUUGCCUUUUUGUCUGAUGCUUGACAUUAGUUUGUGACAUCAGCAUAUUAAGUGUCUUUGAAUUGGACUAAAUUUGUGGCUUCAGUUACCACAUUUAGUAAAACUAGAACCAGAGGCCGAAUUUCACAUUUCUCGAGAGUACGAGGAGUGUUUUGGAAUUGUCAGUUGAAUUUUGCUUCUUGUCCCUUUUCUUAAUGUUAUCUUGCAUGCUAUUUCAGAGGGAAGAUUGUACUUACCAGAUUUUUUUUCCAUUUUUUUUUAGAGAGAAGAUGGACUUCCUUCCCCUUCACAAUCUAUGGAUGCUAAAACUACAAGCUCUUCUUCUAUCACAAGUACAUUUCAAUCUGUUGACAAAGAUAACCUUCCUUGCCUAGUCAAGGUAAACCACUUCAUGUCAUAUUUUCCAUUAUACAUCCAGAUCUACCGAAAUGGUCUGUAAAUGAAUGUUUUUAUUCGUCCUUUUCAACCAAGUUUGAUUAUUUUCUGUUUCGAUAAUGCAGAUAUAUGAUUCUCCAGAAUCAGAAUUGAAGCUGAAUGAUGUUUUUGAAUUUAUUGGGGUCCUCACUUUUGAUUCAGAGCUUGCAGUUGAGAAAGAUGACAAUGAUGAUUUAUCAAAUAGUUUCUAUGAUGAUGCCCUGGUCCAUUUGCCCCCUAAUAAGGUAUUUAUCUGCUCCUAGCUGUUAAAUAUUUGUGGCUUCAUUAUCGGCACAGAUUGUUUUGGGAUCAGUUAAUUUUUUUUGGUAAUGAAACUGAAGUUUUUUGGACGAAUUUAUUGCAUAAAAUGAUUACUCAAAUGACAAUUGUUAGGAUAUUUGUAUCUUGACAUGCAGUACAAGUUAAUGAUGUCUUUUUGUAAUAAAUUGGUUUGAUUUCUGGUCUUGUUCGGUCUUCCCACUUGUUCCUGUUGCAGGUCCCUCGCUUGCACUGUCUUAUACAUAGGAAGCUUGCAGUGCAGGACUUUCUGCCAGGUUCCCCAAUCAUAGAGGUAAAUUAUAGGAGAAAUUUAUCAAUCAUGCACUUUCCCUCACGCUGACUAGUUGUAGUUCAGUUGUCUAUUGGUUUCUCAUGUGCUUUUAAUCUUCAUUCUUACAGCCAAAGCCACAUUUGGUGAAAGAGACAAGGGAAGCUCUGUUCAGGCAUCUUACUGCUGUUCUUGGAAAUGAUGAGGUAGCUGCUCAUUUUGUGUUGUUGCAUCUUCUGUCCAAGGUAAAAAUCUUAUGUUUUGUUGAAAACUAUUACUUUCAACUCCCAUCUUAGAUUGUGAGAAAGUGAUAAGAUUGGUUGUGCAGGUUCAUGCUCGAGUAGAUGAUGUUGCAGUGGGGAAGUUGUCACUCAAUCUAACAGGUUUAAACAAAGAAAGUGUAUCUGUUUUUGGUACUCGACUUAGCGAUACAUUCAAAAACCUCCUACCAUUCACGAAUUGCAUGCCUCUCACACUGGAAUAUCUGAACACUGCCUCGCUUGCCCCGAAAAAGGAUUAUCAAGCCAACAGGUAUCCCUUUAUUCAUAUCCCUACAACUAGGGAAAGUUAUUGCCUGCAAGCAUUAAGAAAGCAACUAGUAACCAUCAAAUUUUCAGUAUUUAUAAUAGCUUCACUUUGUGUCUCAGAUUGGUUCCUGGAGUUCUUCAGCUACCCGAAGGCUCACACUUGAUGGUAGACGAGACCCAACUAGAAUCAGGAAGCCUCAAUUCUACUGGAAUUGAGAAUACAAAGUUGCUGAAAAAUCUUAUCGAGUUUCAAAAAGUAAGUUGCCACUUUGUUUAUUGGAAAAUGUGUGCAUGUUAGGUUUUGAUUUUGUUCUAUAUAUUGGAAGUAUACCAGAGUAAUACUGGUCUGAUCUCAGUUUGAAGUGACGCAAAAUCAAAAUAUACGUGUUUCAGGUGGAGUAUGACUUUCAGUACUAUAAAGUGGAAAUGGCAACGGAUGUCCAGUUACUUAUCUUCUCGGAGGGGAAAUCUAAUAUUGUUCCUGCUGAUGUUAUUGUACCUUUUCAACCUUCUUGUCUUGAAUCCACUGAAAUUCCAGUUGCUGAGGCACUAGAAGCUUGGAGAUGGUACUUGGCUACUGUUAGAUCGUUACCACAUUCCAUUGGAUCAGAAAUACAGAAGGUAUGACUUGGUUAUGUGCAUUUGUUGGCUGAACACUUGCAUUACCCUUUCUUAUGGAUGUUUGGUUUGCAGGUGGUAGAAGAUGAUUUGGUUGCAGCAAGACAAACGGAUAGGAGCUUGGGAAGUCGAGAUUUUAGCAGGUAAGAAACAAAGCUUUGAUCAUGCUGUAUUUGCAGCAGACAUUAUACGUUUUGAUGUUGCACUGAACUUAGAAUGAGUUGAAUAUAUUUAUGAUAUGUAGAUGGUUGACAAUGGCUCGGCUCAUUUCGUCAAGUUUUGGAGAAACCAGUUUGUCAAAGGAACAUUGGGAAAUGGUAAAAGAAAUGGAGAGGCUAAGGAGGGAGAGACUGAAGUAGAAUCCAAAAGUCCACAAGAUUUUGAAGCUUUGGUAUUUGGUAAAUGAUUGUUGCCCCAAAGGGUGAAGAAAAAAGCAAAAAAACCAAAAUAGCAAACAUGGGGAUUGUGAUGUAUGAAUGUUGCCCAUCACCACUCUUAAAUAUAAUAUAUCAUUGAAUGUCUUAUGUAUUCUAAUUGCUGCCAAAGUUGAACUCAAGUUCUUGUGGAAAUACAAUGCAAUCCGAGUCUAAAUCCAGUUCAUUUUACUGGCAAUUGCAGACAAGUGAUUCCUUAUCUGCAACAUCAAAGACCAUUUUUUUUUUCAUUGUUCUGUCCCUGUAAUUUUUGCUUGGAACUGGUGCAACUCAUUUUAAAAAAGACACCAAAAAGCAGGCAGCCAACAUUUAAAUCCCAUUUUAAUUCAGUAAUGAGAGGGUCCACUAAAAGAUAAAAUUAAACAUUGAAUCUUUCAAAUACUAAGACUAAGUUUAUUAUUACACUUAGGGACUCAUGAAGAGACCUUGUCUUUCAUAAUUCAUGGGAAUGAUAAAAUAAAUCUAGGAGAAUCUAAUGAAAAGAAUUUUAAGUUAGGUGAAAUAAUGAAGAUUAUUUAAUCAAUUUAAUUUUUAAGUUAAUUUUUUUAACGAAUUAAAUCAAGUGAAAUAAAUUUCGAAUAUAAUCAAAUUAAUUAAAUUUGUUCAAAAUUAAAUUAUAAUAACUUGAGCAAAAUUAAAUUAGAAAAUCAUAUAUAUUUGAAAAAUGUCAAGUAAAAUAUUUCAAAUUUUAAUUUUAAAAUUGAAUAAUUUAAUUUAAUUAACUCAAAAAAGAACCAAUUUUUCAUGCAUAAGAUGAGGUGAUAAAAGGUUGGUUUUGUUUGAAUUUGUGGCCUUCCUUUCAUAGCUUUGCAGGUGCAGCCAACUAUCCUCUUUACUUUUACAGAUAUUAGUGGGGUUUGCAAAAGCAGUGCCCUAUUCUGUAGGUUACUUCUUGUCCAAGUUUGGGCUCUAAUAAUUCACCUCCACUUGCAAAUUGUUUCAUCUUUUCAAUUCUAUCCAUUUUGUUUUAUACCAACAAGUCUGUGUCGUCGUUUGUCCUGUCUCACGUAAGAUCAAAUGCAAUACGGAUGGCUAAACAAUCUGAAUUCCAUGGUUUUGAUUUCAUCAACCCCAUUGGCAUAUAUAUAUAUUUCAUCAAUUUAGAUAUCAUUUUUACCAAUCGAGUCUUAGCUCGAUUGGUAUGAGUAUUAUUGUCAAUAUAGAAAGAUAUAGGUUUCAGUGCAAUAAAGUACAGUAUCUUCCUAUUUAUGAGUUUAUUUCCCUCUCUUCUCACCAUCCAAUCACCACCAAAAUCCAAUCACACAAGUUUCAAGUUUUUCCUCUACAUAAUCCAUGGAAACCUGUUUAAGUUAGUUUCCUUGUCGAAACCAUCCCUCGAUUUAAAAAUUUUAAAUCUAAAAAAUGGGGGAAAUCGACCUUUGAAAAACAAAUGCAUGGAGUCGCCACUGAUCUUUUUGGUGUGAUCGGAUCACCUGAGAAUGAUGUUAGUUUAAUAAAACAUUUUUGGUCUACUAAAACAACGAUUCUAGUCUACGAAAAUAUGAGAAAACGGGCUCGGGAGUCAGUUACGUAUGAGGAAGGAUUAGCGCCCUCAUUAAGCCCAAAAUUGGUACCGAAUCGAUUAAAUACUGUUCUUAUGUCUAAGAUUUAAAAAAAGUUUUUGAAAUGUGGUUCUUCUUUAUAACGUUUGAGUAACCCGAGUUGGUUGCCAAAAUCUUCUUGUUUCAAUGUCCGAAAGUUUAUAAUUUGAAAUUAACAAGAGGAUGCCCAACUAUUUGGUCCAAAAAAUUGAAACCCAGCACAGUAGGGCACGAUUCCUUGAACUUCCAAACAUCGAACAUUGCCUCACCUUAAAAAAUAUGAGUGAAAUUCUAAAGAGAUAUUCGAUUAUUUUGGAGAAAUGAAAAAGCGCAACCCAACACGAUAGGGCUCGAUUCUCAAAUCGCCAAACAUCGAACAUCACCUUUAUUUUGAAAGAUUUUAGAAAAUGUGAGUGAAAUUCCGAAGGGAUGUUCAAUUGUCUCGAACCAAUGAAAAAGCGCAACCCAGCACGAUAGGGCACGAUUCUCAAAUCGCCAAACAUUGAACAUCGUCUUCGUUUCUAAGAAAAUUUUUUUAUAAACAUGAGUGAAAAUAUAAAGGAAUGUUCGAUCGUUUUGAGCAAACGAGAAAUCACAACCCAGCACGAUAGGGCAUGAUUCUCGAAUUGUCAAACGCCAAAUAUUGCCUUUGUUUUAAAUAAUUUUUAGAAGAUAUGAAUGAAAAUUUGAAGGGAUAGUCGAUUAUUUUGAGCAAAUGCGAAAUUGCAACCCAACACGUUAGGGCACGAUUCCGCGAAUUGCCAAAUAUCGGAUCUCAUCUUCGUUUUGAAGAAUUUUAAGAGACAUGCGUGAAAUUUCGAAGUGAUAUUCGAUUAUUCGAGCAAACGCGGAAUUGCAACCCAACACGUUAGGGCACGAUUCGGCGAAUUGUCAAACAUCGAAUCCCGUCUUCGAUUUGAAUAAUUUUUGAAUGAAUGAUUAUAAAGCUAGUUUAAGAUGUAUUAAUUCGAUUUGAAAUAAGGCGAAGUUAAUCAUAAAUCUUGGGUUUUAGAACCACAUUUCAAAAAUCGAGUGGAAAACAAUGAACGGGGUAAUAUGUACAUGCGAGAUACAAAGCUUAACAAACGAAAAUAUUAAUCAAUUAGCAGAAGAAGCAAUUAAAUAUAAUUAAUCUAAGUUAACCUAAUUUCAACCGCGAUAAUAAUAAUUGACAUAUCAACAGGAUGAAUACCACGUGAUGAUAAUAUAUAUGCCACAAUAUAGAACAAUCGACGAAAUAUAUACAAAGCGGAAUAGAAUGCCAAAACAUUAAAUGAUAUUGGUUUUUAAAAGAAAUGAGGAUUGAUAGUAUGAAAAUUUUAAAAUAUGUGUAAAACAUAUUACAAAUAAUAAUAAUAAAAAUGUAGAAUAUGAUAUAGACGGUUCUACAAAUUAUGUGUAUAUAUAAAUAAUUUUCAAAAAUAAGUAUUUGUGAAAACACGGAAAUACAUGCAUGCUUAAAUGAAUGUUUUAAAAAAAAUAAUUUUAUAUAAUGGUUUCAAGAAUGUGCUUAUAUAUGUAAUAAGGAAAACAACGUAAAAUACAUAAAUUAAAUAAUAUCUAUCUAAAUCAAACAUAAGUAUUAACAUAUACGCAUAUACAUAUAAUAGAAAUAAUUGGAGAGAUGCGUUUCGUAGGAUUAUAUAAAAUACGAGGACAAAUAAUUGAUAAUAGUAUAUAUACAUAUGAAAUGGAACCAACUUUAGUACAAAAUAUACACGUACAUCAACAAAAUAGGCUAAAAACAUACUAAUGUGUGCAAAGUAUAUUUAUUUUUUAAGGUUUAUAUGCACGCAUGGAUUUAAAAGAAAGAAUAUAUGUGUUUAAAGGUAAGUGAUACAUAUGUACAUACAUAAUAAUAUAAAUGAAACCAAUAUUUAAAAUGUACAAAACAUAAUACUAGGAUUGCUACAAGAAACAGUUUACAAAUAAUAAAAUAAUGAUUACCCAAGGUGGUUUAAAAAUUAAAAUUAAACUAAACAAGAAGGGAAAAUUAGGAAAUAAAAACUAUAAUAACGGCAGAGACCCAUAUGUCGUGCGCGCGAAUGGAGAGGGACUAAAACUGGGAAUAUGCCAAAUCUCGAAGUGCUGCGUUUGAGCAUGGACCCCAUUGCAAAUGAGCGCUAAAGACAAGUCUAAAUUUAAAUAAAUGAAACAAGAAUGUGGGUUGAUUUAAACAAGGCGCUAAAAAAAGGGGGACCGAUAUUGCAAAUCGCCCUCAGUGACCAAACGCGCGGAUCUAGACCGUGUGAGGGUCGGGUCAUCGGGCCACAACUCCUCAAACACUGUCAUUUUGAGACCAUUAGUCUGGCCUAAACGGCGCCGUGCAGAGGUCCACUAUAACUACCGAAACUAAACCCUAAGACACUAGCAACCAUUCACAGAAAACAAAAAAGGAAAGAACCUAGGGCGCUCUCUCAAUUCUCCGCCGACCAACAGCCUUUCAAAGGUCUGUUCCUCUGCCCAUCCUUUUGACUCAUGUGAGAGUCAAUCAAGGCCUCCUUGAGUCGAAGGGCUCAUGAGCUUCGUUUGUAGCCCCGAAUCGCCACUUAGCUUCAAUCAUGGUGAAACAAGCGUGGAUUCAAGGGCCUCAAAUGCAGGUGAGCGUCGUUUUCCAUUUUUAUUUACAUUCAAUCAAGAAAGGGGCAGAUGGGAAGAUAAGAGAGAAAUAAGGGACGAAGAUUGCGAGUAAAUCACCUUCUUUUUCGUUUUCUAUUGCUUCUGUUUGCGUAAAUGCGCGUAACCCGUUACAAGCAAUUCUCUUCAGGCUUUAUAGCCGAGAGACAAAAGAGAAAAGAAAAGAAAAAAAUGAAAAUGAAAAAUCAUUUCUUUGUUUUCUUGCACGUAUUUGCUGUUGUGGUUUGUCCUUUUUUUUGGCAGGUACAGGUGUGCGCUGGCGUACGGGGCGUGCUGGCUGCUGAGACGCUGGUAUCGUACGGAGGGCGGGCGUGGCACGACGUGGUUGCUGUUCGUGAAGGCUGCGGCGCGAGGACCCCUUUUGCCCUAGGGUUUGCCGAAGCUUAGCUUGGGUUUCGGGCUGUUUGGGUCUGUUCCAGUUAUUGGGCCCUUAUAUUUGGGCUAUGGGGCUACUGGUUUUUUUUUUUGUAAUUGGACUAAAGUAUUAGUAAUAGGGUCUUGCAAUUGGACUUAUGCUAUGUAAUUGGAAAGUAUUUAAGGGACUGUUAUAAUUUUAUUUAUUUUAUGAUUUUUUUGGUUUAUCUGGGCCGGGCAAAUUUGGCCCAUUACAUUCCUCUUCAACCUUUUUGAGUUAUUUUCCUUUUCACUUCGGGUUCUUUAUCGCUCUUGAAGUUUUUACCUGAUCAAGAAUGCAAAAUUGAUUUUUUUUUAUGUUUGAUGCACAUGUUUAUAGAAAAUCUUGAACCCCAAGACAAAAUCAAUGUUUAAAAUAAGAUCUUUGAAAACCUUUUUCGAACAUUACAAAAACUUGCAAAACAAUCAAAAACUAUCAGAACGAAAAAAUAGAAACUAUUAGAAUAUCAAUCGGCUACACAAUCUCAGAACAAUCUCUGAACAAAAAAUAGAAACUCAAAAAAUCAACAAAAAAUAGAAACAGUAUAUAAGAAUACUAAUCGACUACACAAUCUCAGAAAAAAAAUAGAAAGUUGCAUGCAUGUUAAACUUUAGGGGUUUAGGGGAUUUUAAGCUCAGUUUUUGAAUGACAAAGGGAGGAGGCUCUGGUGAUAGUGGCCUCACUUAGGUUUAACCCUUAAGCCGCGAGGAGGCCACCAUCUCCAUAGAUUUGGUGAUCCCUAAAAGAAGAGAAAAUUUUGGCUAUUUAGGUUUCCAAAUUUUUCUUGAAAGAGAACAAAAUAAAGAUUUUUAAGGAGAAAAAAAAACAAAAAGUAGAGGAUGGAGAAGAAAUAAAAUUUUCGAGUAGUUGCUGCUACUGUUGUUAUCUUCAUCACUAAGUAGCACCAGUUGUUGAGCGGCUACUGCCAUGUCUGUACAUUGGGAAAAAUUUUUGGAGGGGGUAAGGAUGAAAGAAGAAUGGAAAAUAAGAAAAGAAAAGAAAAAGUGGAAAAGGAAAAAGAGGGGAAAAAAAAAACAAAAAAAGAAGGCUAAAUAGGAUACCACGUAGUGGUGUGCGAUUGGUCAGCGUUGCCACGUCAGCAAAAAAAUUAACGCCACUAGUAUUAGGUACCAAACUAGUGGAUGGAAAAAGAGUUC